rnacentral:lncRNA from 1 species
AGACAUAUAAACCUUAUCUCCUGACUCUAUACCUUGGCUAUAGUGCUCUUGCAACAUAUUAAAAUUCUCGUAAAUAAAAAUUAUACACAAUUUAAAUUAAAUUAAACAUCAAGACCCAUGACGAAGAUGAAUCUCUGUUCAUUUUUCUUUUUAUUAACAACAAAAGUUUUUAGGUCCACUUCUUUCAACAACCUCCUCAAGGAUCCUUAAUUAUCUCUUUCCAAGUUCAUAACCACUCUAGUCAUGCAAAGAUUAAGGUUCAUGGCCAAUCAACAAUUAAUCUGUGAUUAAGAUAUUAUGAACGUUAUUCACAUAAAAACAUGAAAAGAUUAAGAGCAAAUAAUCAGAUGCAUUACAAAGAAUAAUUCAUAAACUUUGUCUACAUCUAUCCCUAGGAUUAAGAGUUUAGCUGCCCCAUACUUCACAAUCUAAAACACAAAACUCAAUACAAUACCCAUAACAAAAAUUCAAGGAGAGAAAAAGAAACGAAGAAGAAAAGCUAGUGAUUCGUAUUAUUAUAAUACUGUGUAUAACAGUAUGUGUUUUUUAAUAUUCUCUGUUUCCAGCUCCAGUGUACCAAAAUACUAUCACAAACUCCACAAUCCUUCUCUUUCCAAUCCCUAAACUAACCAAUGAAUCAUAUUUGCACGCUUGGUAGCCUUGUUCAAAAUAUUAUAUAUUACAAUUAUAAUAACUUAUAUCCCCCUUUUCAAGCCUAAAAUGCAAAACCUUUCUUCCAUUCUCUAAGGCACAUUUCCUCUUCUUUAAUUUUGCAUUCCAAUUUUAAAUAACAAAUUACAAAUUUUAAUCACAAAGGAAAAAAGGAAAAUUAUUACCUUUAGAAAGGGAAGAAAAUGAAUGAGUAACCAUGAAGGAUUUGGAAACGAAUAGAGGUUUAGCGAAAGUGGAAUGCGACAGAAGGACGGUGAACGUGUUUACUCAUUUUCAAACAGAGAAUGUGUUUACACAUUUCGAACGGUGAACAGACAGACGCAAAUCAACGAAGGUGAAGGGAACGCAAAGCAGACGAACGGUGACGGACGAUGAACGCAAAUGAAUUAAGGUGAACGCUGAUGAACGCAAAGGGAAGUCUUUUUCGGCGAUGAACGCAGAUGAAUGCACAAAUGAACGCGAAGGGAAGGUUAGGUGAACGACGCUUUUGAUUUCGGGUGGAGAAGGGACAAAGUCGCGGCGAAUUAGGUUUAAUUAAGAAAAUGGGAAGUGAUCUAAUUGAAACGUUGCGUUUUGUAAAAGAAUAUUCACACAAUAAUUUUUUAGAAAUUUCUUGAUGUUUUUAAAGACUCAAAAACAAAUUAAAAUUUCUUGAAGUUUUUAAAAACAUCAAUGAUUUUUUAGAAUUAUCUUGACGUUUUAAAAACGUCAAGAAUUUUUUUAUAAAUUUCUUGAUGUUUUUAAAAAUGUCAAGAACUUUUAGAAUUAUCUCAACAUUUUAAAAACGUUAAGAAUUUUUUAUAAAUUUCUUGACGUUUUUAAAACGUCGAGGAAAACUAUAUAUUAUUGACGUUUAAAAAACGUCAAGAAUGUUGAAUUCAUAAACAUUCUUGAUGUUUUUUAAACGUCAAGAAAAAAUACAUCUUACUUGACGUUUAAUAAACGUCAAGAAAGUUGAAAAUUGGCCUUUCAUAAAAAUUCUUGAGGUUUUUUUAUUUAAAAACGUCAAGAAAGGAAAACUACAACCGUCAAGAGAGCCUAUUUUUGUAGUAGUGAUUUUGGGGACAAGACUGAGUGGGGAGUUGGGAUUAUAAUUAAAAAAAUAGAAUUCACUCAUUUCCUACUUUAGGGUAAGUAGAUGAAUGUUAGCUUAAAUGGUGGCUCCAAAACUUGGACAAAGGGUUCGUACCCUCUCUAUGACAUGAGAGGGGUUUUUGUUUAUUAGUAGGACCAUAAACAAGUUGUUCAUUAGAGGAGCACUGGUUUUUAAGGAUUAGAGGUAACAUAGGGGUAAAGCGGUAAAUUGAUCCAACUGGUGUUACAAACACUCGUGAAGGACUAACUUACUAUUAUUGGUCUAUAUCCGUGGACACAGACAUAUAUUUUUAGUGAGAAGAGUUCAGUUGUGAGUCUUUAAUGGAGUGUACACACAGCUAACGAAUAUUGAUUAAUGUGGUUAAUGAGUUUAGCCAAUUAAUCUUAGAUCGUUGUAGCUUUUGAUAUGUAGAUCCAUUAGGUCCCUUUCCUAGCUCGUAAAGGGUAAUGAGAUUUAUUUAUAUUGGUUGUAAUUUAAAAUGUUUAAAUUUAACUUGGGAAUUAGUAUAAUGUAUAGUGAUACAUUAUAAUAUAAAGUUUAUCAAACUUUACUAUAUAAAUUUAACUUUGGGGAUGAUUCAAAAUUAAUUUAUGAGAGAUAAAAUAUUUGAAUGAGUUCAAAUAUUAAUUUAAUGUGAAUUGGAUUCAUAUUAAAAUUAUUGAGAGAAACUUAUUUUGAAUAUGAUUCAAAUUUAAUUUAAGUUAAAUAUAAGAUAAAUAAUUUAGUGUUAUUAGUUAAUUGGAGAAUUAAUUAAUAGUUUAGUUUAAUAUUAUUUAAUUAAAUUCGAUUUCAUUAAUUAUUAACUAAUUGAUUAAUGUUUAAUUAAUCAGUAGAUUUGAAAUAUAUCUAUUAAUUUAAUUAUUUUAAAUUAAUAGAAUCUCAUGGUUCUCUUCUACUUCAUUUUCUAUUCCUAGAAGGAAAGAGAGUUAUAAUAUCUAGAAGAAAACAAUUUUCUUAAAAAAAUGAAUUAAUAAAAAAAGAAAAAAAUAAGGCUAACGAUAUUGCUCUUUGCAAAAAGAAAAGAGUUUCUGUCAAAUAUCUCUAAACUUUUUCCCAUCCCAAUUGGUUCCACAAACCAAUCUCAUCCCAGAGGUACUCUUUGCAAUUUAAGCUCUCUUUGCAAUGGACAAUCUUCAAAGUUUUUUUUAACGAUGUUUCCAAUGCUUUCCUUUCUCUCUCAUGUUUAAUAAAACCAAUUUCUCGUAAAACCUGUAGGGAGGCUACAUCGUAUCGAAUUUCAUACAACUGACGUGUUCAUCGAGUUACAACAAGUGCUGCACAAUUGUCUGUUCUGUGUUUGGAAAGUUGUGAUUGUGACACGCUGCACAUGAGGUUAGAAUGAGACAUGGCAAGGCAAGCCCUACGCGCGCCUGCCAACUUCUGCCACAAUAUUUUGUACGCAAGCUAAUGUCUUUGGGCUGUUUUUGUGGUUUUUGGAAAUUUUAAGCAAAGUUUUGAUAUUUUAGAUCUGAAGGAGAUAGAACAAGUUUAUAAGCCAAGGGUCCAAGCUACUCUCGAUAAGUGACAAAAAUGAGUUUAAAGUUGAUUUCUAAACAUGAAUUUACUAUCAAAUGUUUCAAGCAUGCUUUGAUGUUUGAAUAUUUGAGGAUACUGACUUAUAAUGUAUUUCCAAAGCAUGAAUUUAGAAACAUUUUGGUAAACAUGUUUUUAUUGAUGAAUUUACUAAUGAAAAUUAUAAGCAAUCAUGAUUGUGCUAAGUUUUCAAAAUGUUUAAGCUUGAAAUAAUAUUAGCAUGUUUUAGUGUAUACCUAAAAUAUUCUAAGAUAUAUAGCAACCCUUCGGAGAGAUUUUUCUUGUGCAUAGAGGUCAUUUGAUUUGGAUAUUCAGUAAAUACCUAGCUUUCCAUCAUUGGUUUAGAUAAGAGAUGAAGACUUCUAAAGAUGCUUAGUUUCCCAUCUCAAGGGACGAGACCCUGUACGAAUGCUAGUUUUCCAUCUCAUUGUAUUAUAACGAGAUAGGGCACAAUUGAUGCCUAGAGUUUCAUCUCGUAAGUAUCGUAUCACGGGAUAGGGCUUCUAUGCCUAGUUUAUUGUUUUUCGUCUCGAUGAUUCUAGGUAUAGCAACUGAGAGGGAAAGUUUGAGAUAAGUUGUUUGAGUUUGAUUUCAUUUAUGUUAAGAGUUAAUUGUUAAAUACUUGUUAUUUUCAAAACGAUGUUUUAUAACACAAUCACUCAUUGGGCUAUUUAGCUCACUCUUUGGAUAAAUAUCCCAUAUGGAUUUACGUUGUUUGGAAAAUUAAACUGUGCUUUAGUACUUCAAAGAAAACUUCCCUCCCAUGUCCUCUCACCUCAUGUCUGCCCCAUUUGUGUUGAUAACAUGAAAAAUAUUUAGCACCUUUUAAUUGAUUAUGUCUUUGUAUCGAAAUGUUGGUUCCGUCUUCUCCAAACAUUCAAUAUUUGUUGGAUUUUUGCUCAAUCAAGGCUUAUCUUCUUUUGUUCUCGACCUGCUACCUAUGAUUUAUGAUUUUGUUUUGGACAUAUUAUUUUAUCAUUUGUUUGGUUUAUAUUUGUGGCUUUUGUUUUGUUUUGUUUUUUUUUUUUUUUUUUGAAAAGGAGACAACCUCUUUAUUAAUAUUAAAAUAAUAAUAAUAAUUAGACAAAAGCUCAUAGUACAAGAGAGUUAUACAAGGAACAUGUAACUAAAGAUGCUUUUGUUUUGCUUUUGAUUUUGAUCUUGUGUUGUCGCUUUUUGGAUGUGAUGAGGGCGCUAAGGGGGUGUCAACCUAGUUGAGAUGUCCAGGUGCGUCUGUUGAUCCUCCAUCCUAUUGCUCUUUGUAUAAUCCUCAUGACAUUGAACUUUGUCUCUUCAUUUUUCAAUAUUAAUAAUAGUGAACUCAUAUCCUCUUUUUUUUUAAAAAAAAUAUGGGUUAAUUUGAUAAAAGUGUUGCUAGCAGAGAUUUGGUUUGAGCACAACCAACACAUUUCCCAUGAUAACAAAAGGGAUUUGCGUGGUGAAAAUAGAUCUAUUAGAUCUCUUGGAGCAAUAAAAAAGAAAUAAGAUCUUUAUGUGAAAGUCGAACUUUUUUUUAUGGAGCAUUGUGAAGAAAGGCCUUUACUUUUGGGCAACAUUGGAAUUGGGGCAUGGUUGUGCGCUUAUUAUCAAAAGUUGUCCCCUAACGAUCAAACUGGUUCACUGUUGCGAAAUGGUGGGUUAGUUUAGGACAUGUCAUUAUUCUCGAACCUUCAGAUAAAUCUCCUUAUCUUAGGGAAUUAAAAGUUGUUCAACACAGGCUUGAAACAGACAUGUAUAGGGCUUCUGUAUUUUCCCAUAAGGAGCCAAUGAUUGAUUAUAUAUUGGUUGUUUUGCAAAGGGAAAGAUUUCCCUAACACGUAUUGUAAAAAAUAUGUAGUUGGCUAGUAGUGAAAAGUUAGCAAGGCUAUUCAUGUUUCUCUUGGUGUUCCCUCUCACUCAUCUUGAAGCUUAUUGUGGGCAUUUUGUCAACUUACUUUGGGUUUCUUUUGUCUUCUGUUUUAAUUAAUUACUUCGUACUUAUUUUACAUUUUAGUUUUCAUUAGUGCGUCCUGGAUAGAGGAUUUCGUUUAGCUCGUUGUUAUUGUUGAUAAAAUUAAAAUGCCAACGAUUACAAUUCUUGAGAACGGACUCAUCUGUUUCCAAUUCAGAUGCCCAAAACUUGUUGAAUGGAUCCUACCUCGUUGAUCGCGACAUCUUGCUGGCAAAAGUAUGCUCCUCCGUAAAUGGACUCCAGGUAUUGUCCCUAAAUCCUUUGUUUUUUAUUAUGUUCCUAUAUGGAUUAAACUAGGUAGGAUUCCAAUGGAGUUAUGGACAGAUGUCAGAUUGACUGUUGUGGCUAGUGCUAUAGGCAAACCUCUAUCUUUAGAUCUAGCUACUAAGGAAAGACGAAGGUUGUCACAUGCUUGAGUAUGUGUUGAAUCAAAUGUGGACUCUCCUAUGCUUGCUGAAUUUACAAUUCACCUUAGGGGAGAGGAUUUCGUUAUGACUGUGAAUUAUGAGUGGAAGCCUCGAAGGUGUAAUUUGUGCCGGUCUUUUGGGCAUUCUAGUGGUAAGUUCUAAGAUUGUGGAAAACAAAGUUCAUCGAGGAGGAUGUGAGCAAGGUGGUUUCAAACAAAGAGGAGGAACGGACAAUUGUGUCUUGUGGAUGUGGUGUUAGACUUAAAUAGUUGGAGGAAAGUAAGACUAAUAGCUCCCCCAUUAGGCAUAUUAAGGAAAAGGAGGUAGGUAAUCGAGAUGAAAUUACUCGUUAUUAGGAAGAAAAGAGAGUUGGUUUAUGUUCGAGAGAAGGGUAAACGUGUGGAUGUGAUUAUGCCUAACUCUUUUGGCAGCCUUAUGAAGUUGGGUGAGGGAGACAAGUGGACCUUAUCUAUAGUGGAUGACUCCCCUCCCCCCUUACAAGUGGAUGAUACUAUUGUUCUUAGGCGUAUGUUAUUAAUCACCUUAAGAUAAUUUCAAAAUAUAAAUAUAUUUUUAGUAUAAGUCCUCACGUUUGACUCUAGACUCACCAAGAAACCUUAUUUGGAUAAGAAUAUGACAAAAUUAGUGAUAUUAGAUGACUAUCAAACGAUAAUCAUAGGGUUAUCAACUUUUAAAUUUACUACUUUUAAAAUUUAGAAAAUGUAGUGACAUGAGUCAUGUGAUUAUAAAUGUUUUUGUUAUUUUUGCAGGGUUCCAAAGAAAAAAGAAAAAAGUAAGAUGUGAUUGAUAAUAUGUGAAAAAAGGAAAAAAAUUAAAGAAAUAUAACUCGAUAUAUCUAAUUUGUUUAAAAACGACCCCAUUUGUAAUUUUUCUUUUCAAAAGUCACACAACAUCUUUUUGGAAAGUUUUUUUAGAGAAGCAUGCCAAUACCUUCAUCCUACGUAUGUAGAUGUAUUUAUGAAUAAUUUUUAAAAGUUCAAAACAAUUUUUUUUAACAUUUCAAAGUUUAAGGUAUUUUUUUACACAAACUACAAAAUUCAAAAGAAUUUUUUUUGUAAUUUAACUAAAUACUGUUGUAUGUAUAUAUAUAUAUAUAUAUAUAUAUAUAUAUUAGUUAUCUUUUUUAGUCCUAUAUUGUAAAAAAUAUGAUUAUCGAUUUAUCGAAAUCUAAUUUGUAAAUGGCUUAAAACAUUUAGUUUGUUGAAAAAAAAAGGACAAAACAAUGGACCAAUGGACAGCUAAUACGAGUCGUGAACCGAAUACACAAAAUUCUCUAAAUCCAAUUAAGCAAGAUUUCAAAAAAAAAAAAAAUCUAAUAAAAACCCUACAUGUACAGUCUCUCUCAUUUAAAGUUUCUUUCUCCUCUUCUCUAACGGCCAAGUCUCCCUCUCCCCCUCUUCUCCCCCUUCUCUCUUGCUCUCUUGUCUUCUUUGGCCUAUCUCUCAAUUUCCGUUUCUGUAAGGAAGAAACCCUAUCAUACCCAUUUCGCGGAUCCAUCUCCAUCUUCUUCUCUUAGUCGCGGAUCCAAUCUCCAUCUUCUUCUCUUAGUGCGUCCUUUCCAUUUCUUCGUACACUCCAUUUUUCCUUUCUCUUCUCAAAACCCUAAGGCCUAUCUCUCAAUUUCCGUUUCUUUAAGGAAGAAACCCUAUCAUACCCAUUUCACCGAUCCAUCUCCAUCUUCUUCUCUUAGCGCGUCCUUUCAUUCUUCUUCUUUUUCUUUGUUCGUACACUCCAUUUUCCCUUUCUCUUCUCAAACCCUAAUUCUCUUUAAUUAAUUAAUUCCCUCUCCUUUCUCUCUCACUUCCUCCCUCUUCCAUUAAUGGCAGGUUCUCCUCAUCUUACUCCUUUCUCCAGUGUUGAUUCCUCCUCUACUUCGACUUGUGAUGCUCUUUUCUUCUUCCCUCGCAAUUUCGAUUCCACCAUCGUCACCGAUUUUGGUUGCAAUUUCUACUCUCUUCAACCUCAACCUUCUGGAUUCCCUCAGUCUCACCGGAUUGACUUCAAUGUCCUUGGAACCUCCACUACUACUACUAGUACUCCACUCAUCAAAGAAUCCGCUGGAUUAUCAGACGCUCCUCUUCCUUUCCUUUCUAAUCCUUGUCUCUCUUCCAACUCCAGUGGUGAGCCCCCGAACAAAUCGCAUUACUCCGUGAGUUCCCAAUUAAUUCCAUCUUUAUUUAAUAUUCAAUUAUCCUCUUUCCAUUUGUUUCAAUUAUUGAAUAGAAAGUUAAUUGAAUGAACUAUGUUCCAAUAAUUUCAUGUGGUUCUGGUAAAGCACAGUGCAUCCGGUCGAACUUCCCCCAUUAUGUAAUUUUAUGGAGGUAGUUUUGUAAAUUGGAUUGAAACAGGGGCUAUUCAAUGUGUAUGCAUUAAAAUAUAGGGAUUGUUUUUCAAUUAAAUAUAAAUUGAUUGAGCCUCUGAUGUGCUAGAAAGCAUCAGAUCUCCUCUGUGUAUAUAUAGUUAGGUACUCUUCUUUUUUUUAUAGGUUCCAUCAUAUAUAUCACGGUCUGAAGUUGUAGCUAAACUUGCUUUCAUCUUCAGUUUCUAUCAUUAUUUAAAGGUCAGAUUUUGUUCGAUUAGAAGAAUGUAAAUUUGUCAAGGACAAUAGCAUGCUUAGUUUAAUUGUACUCAAAUAUUGUUACUAAAACAAUUGCUUUAUUUGUGUUGAUACCAGUAUUUGUGUGGUAGAUCUCUUGAUUCAUUUUGAUGUUUGUAUUUUGAAGACAUACAAAGGUCAUAAUACUAGUUGCUAUUCUUUUUAUCUUGGUACGUUUCAUUUUUGUUUUAAUGUUUCACUGUCUCUAUAAUUGAUUGUACAAACAUAUCUCAUCAUUCAAUCACUUUUCAAGUUUUAGAUUAUGAAAUUUGUACAUAUUGGGGUUUUCCUUUUUCUUUAUUUUGGAUUAUUUCAAAUCUCCAAAGAUCUUUCUUGUAACAUUUGCAUAUUUUAGUUUGUUAAAAUCUUCGAAAGUAGAGGAGAAGGCUCCAAAAGCAUUCUGUCUCUCAUUGCCUUGCCCUAACAUUAUCAUCUGUGUAAGAUGUGCCAAUGAGUAGACCAUUUUCUUUUACUUUUUUUUCCAUAGCUUUUGAACCACUUUCCCUUUCUCUCCUUCUCUUUCAUUCUUCUUUUAUGUUAAUUGGAAGAAGCUUUGAGGCCUCUCUUGAAAAUAAUGAGGUUUUGAAGGGGAUAGAAAGAGAGUGAUGGUGGGAUCCAUCAAAGGUUUGGGAUUUCACACAAUGUUCGCAUCACUCUUUUAAAUGUAAUUAGAGGUUGAGGAGUUGAUCGCCGAUCAUAGAUAAGGAGGGCUGGUUAGUGGCUUGGAAAAGAAUUCAGACAACAUUAAUUUUUUCUAAAAAAUAAACCAACCUUCCGACGGUUGGUUAACACUCCUCGACAGUCGAGAUAGGGUAAGACUUGUAUUCUGGUUCUGUUGAUACCUAUAUUUGUGCUUCAUCACUUUAUAAUUGUACUUUUAUUUAUCCCCUUUGUAUAUUUCCAUGUGUUUCAUGUUUGUCUUUUAUGUUUCUUCUAUUUAUAUAUUUCUUCAUGUUCUUCUCCAUUCGGGUUUGCUCUUGCGGAGGUUACACAUUCAUUGUUGUGCUGGUACUUUAGUUAAUGAUGUCUAGUAAUUUUUGUUUUGCAAAUUUUCUUGUUAGUGCUCAAGUUUGAUUUCAUACUGCCUUUAGCAUAGCUUUACGACUGCAGAAUUCAAUUGCACAUUGCCCUUUUUUAUUUUGUUAUUACUGAUGGACUUAUUUGUGAUACCUUUAAAGAAGAAAAUUUAUGGCUAUUUGUGUUGAAGUUUAUUUGUUGAUUAUUGGUUGGUUUUUUCCCUCCACUUUUCUUAAUAUUUUGAAGUGUGUAAUAAGGUAAACAACUUUUUAGUCCCCUAAAUUUGUUUUAUUGAUGAAUUGUUUCUUUUUUUUUCUCGGUUUUGUUUUCAGGUUUUCAUCAUUAUUCAUUUGGUGGCUAAAUAUUACUCAUGGGUAUUUGUUCGAUCUUAUUUUGUUGUGAUCAAUUGAUAUACAUAAUAUGCACUAUAAAUUUGUUAAAUUGUUGGAUUAUUUGCUUUUUUAAUAAGGUUGGAGGAACCUCAAGGUACGUUUUGUUAAAGCAUAUUUUAUAUUGAUAAAUUUGAAGUUGUCAAGUCUAUAACAAUGAUAAUGUUAAUACGAGUAAAUUUAUAGCAAAUUUAGUUGACUUAACUUAUUUACAUGCUAGUUGCUCGGACUCUUGGAAAAACCUUACGUGCAUUUUAACCCACGAUAAGAAGACUUAAGGUUGUUAUGACUUACAUAUUAGUUUUUGAGAUUUUCCUUUGUAACUUUUUCAUAGACCUUAUUGUAGUUUUUUGUUCUUCAUUUUUGUUUGUAGGACGUUUCUAGAGAAUGCAAGACCAUGUUUGAGUGAGAAAUUGGUCUCGAUGAAAUUGAGAGUUCAAUGAACAGCACAUACAAUGCAAGUAAAUCUACCUACUCAAACCCAUCUUCUAUUUCUAAAGCAGAAGGGCUUUCAGUGGCUGAAACAAGUGAGUGAUUAAGUUUUUUAUCACCCGUAUUAUUUGUUAUCACUAGGGAAAGAAAGCUGAGUAGAAAAAGUAGAAUGCCAAAUGGAAAAAAAAAGAUUAGUAAGCAGCGUUAUUAUUUUAAAAUAGAAAACAAAAAUUAACAUUAUUGUUAAACCGAGCCAUUCUCGAGAACAUGAAAUAGAAUUGGAUAGCUGCCAUGCAUCGUGUUUAUGAAUGUUAAGAAUGAAACUAUCGUAGGGUUAUAGAAUAAUCAUUCUAUCAGCCUCAAUUAUGAUACAGGGUUUAUGAAAUAGAAUUUUCUUAUGUAUUGUAAUAGUAGAAGAUUCUUCGUCAGGAAGCAAAGCUUAUAGCUUUGAAGAGUAUCUAAAGGUUUUAGAAGAGCAACCGAAAGCUUACGAUUAGCUCCAAACCAAUUUUCCAGCACAAAGCCAGAGUGGAUCCCAAGUACAACGGGAAGGUUGUUAAAAUCAAAUCUCUUAUGUCUUAUUUCAUAAUUAUUUAGUUUUGAUCUUAACUACAACAAUUUUCAUUUUUUUCUAGGUGAGCAUUGUAUGUGCUUAGAAAUUAAGUGUUUUGAAAAUUAGAGGUGAGCAAUCACACUUAGAAACUAAGUGUAGAACCAUAGAAAUGUUACCCCAUCGGUUCUAGCAAUGCCUAGUUACCGCAGUUCAUAACAAAGAAAGAAAAGAGGCUCGUAAAUGCAGACCAUAAAAAAGUGAGACAAUCAACAAUUAUAAAAAAAAACAUAUGCAAUAUGCAUUAAAAAAAGCUCAUAAAAAAUACAGACUCAAGUCGGUUAGGUCAAGUAGAACAUGUUGAGUUCCCUAGCUAUUAGAGCUUUUGGGGGAAAACAUCGCUUUUGGCCUAACCAAAACUAGACCAUCUAUUUUUAGUGUUUUAAACAUAACGUCAAGUUUGAUUGAGGGCUUUGAAAAGAGGAGGAAUCCUCCUCGAUCCACAGUAGGGCAAAAACAAGGCUUGUUGUCACUUCGAAGGGAGCAGUCAAACUUAGCAUUGAGUUUGAUUUUUUUUUUUGAAAAGGUAAUGAUAAUAUUAUACAACAACAAGGUGGACCUCACAGCCUAAGGUCAAGACAAAAGAGCGAACAACACUCAUAGAACAAGUAGUUAGACAAAACAACCCAUAAGUACCCAAAACAACCCCACAUCUCGGGAACAAGAACUAAAACCAAAAGAAACCAACUAGUGUUCCAAACAUUAAAAGGAAAAGAAGAAGAGAGAAAGACAACAAAGUUAAUAAAGAGAAGAGAAACCCCACAGCCCGGGGACAAGCAAACGAAAAGAACAUUAAACAAGACCAUGAACACCAUCCGACCAAGAAGCAGCACGCGCUUUAAUACACGACCGAAUGAGCUGGAAUACAACCAUAGGCUCCCGAAUAGCAACUCCAUGAAGACGAUGAUUUCGCUCCUGCCAAAUGAAAUAAAUUGUAGCACACCAGAGAAGGCGCCACAGUUUUCUCCUCACACUCUUCCCAAUAACCGAUUCUAUGAGAAGAUGACAUAAGCAAAAGGAUCCUCGACCAAACCUCCCACCCAAAAUGACAAAAAAAAACAAAUGAUCACGAGACUCAUAGUUCCCUCCACAAAGCAAACGCGAUAAAGGAAUCGACCUAUCCCACCGACUUAACCUAUCUCUAGUACCCAACCUAUCCCUGAUGGCCAACCAAGCACAAAAGGAGUGCUUAGGAAUAUUUCCCCCACCCCAUAGUAAACCCGACCAACCAACCCUACUACUAUGAGGACGAAUAGUCUCCCACGCACUGGUGAUAAAAAACUAUCAUGACUCCCCGGCACCCAGACCCACCUAUCCUCAACACUCGGACUCGGCCUCACUCCCUGAACCCUAUCCCAAAUGUCCAUCAAAUCCAAAGAAACAAGCGGCCACCUUCAAUCACCAUCCCGACCCAUGAAAUCCACCAGCCUCGCAUCCCACCGACUACCUGCAUCAUAGAUCACCCUCUCCCCAAACUGCUGGAUAAUCGGCCCACCCUGAAUCCAUGGAACCAACCACACUCUACACUUCCUUCCAUUGCCCACCUCCAUCUUAACAUGAUCUUUAAGGAUAUCCCGCUUACGCAAGAUUUCCCUAAAGCACCAAGAUCGACUCACCCCAGCAUCGAUCUCCAAGAGCGAUCUCCCUUUAAGGAUAUAAGAUUCCACCCAAGCAACCCAUAAACUACCAGAUUUAACAAGUAGCAACCAUAAUAUCUUCAACGUGCUUGCUAUAUUCCAAGAAGAUCCAUCGCGAAUAUCAAGACCUCCUUCAUCAAAAGGAAGACAAACCUCAUCCCAGGCAACUUUAGCACCACCUCUUCCCUCCUCGUUACCUCUCCACAAAUAAGCCCUCAAGAUCUUAUCAACGUCUCUGUGGACUUUCAUAGGAAGCAUGAACACACUAGCCCAAUAAACCUGAAGGCUCCUAAGGACUGAGCGAACAAGCUGAAGUCUACCUGCAAAAGAUAACACUCUAGCAGACCAAGACCGAAUACGACUGGUAAUACGCUGAAUAAGGGGAUCACAAUCAGAGCUCCGCAAUCUUCUAGAGAGGAGAGGAAGCCCAAGAUAACGAACAGGGAGAUGACCAAUGGAAAAACCCAUGUUAGCAGCAAGCCGAGAGGCUUUCGAACUAUUAACCCCCACAAGAAAAAUUAAGCUUUUAGCAAGAUUAGCAAACAGUCCCGAAAGCUCACCAAACCUCUUAAUAGUCUCUUUUAUGAAACUCAUAGAAUGAUUAUCAGCAGUACAAAAGAUCAUCAGGUCAUCUACAAAAGUAAGAUGAGUUAAUCUGACCUUCUCACAAAACUAGUGGAAUUGAAAAUUCUGAGGUAGGCUGUUCAACAUGCGAGAAAGCACCUCCAUGACCAUCACAAAUAAGAACGGGGAUAAAAGGUCACCUUGUCUAAGUCCUUUCCUCCCAUGGAAAAAACCUUCCAACGAUCCAUUAAUCAUAAUGGAGAACAUCAGAGAGGUCACACACGCUCGAACCCAACUCACAAAUCUUAAAGGCGUACCUAUGGCAAUCAGCAGGCCAAAGAGGAAAUCCCAAUUAACAUAAUCAUAAGCUUUUUGGAGGUCAACCUUCAUAGUGCACCGAGGUUUACCUCUGUGCAAAUGGUAUGCCCCUACAAGCUCCUGACAAAGAAGAAUAUUGUCAAUAAUACUCCUCCCAGGGAUGAAAGCUGGCUGAUUUCCACUAACAAAAGAAGGAAGCCACACGAAGCCUAUCUGCCAAUAUUCUUGAAAUGCACUUAUAAAUAACGCUGCAACAAGAUAUAGGGCUGAAAUCCUCCAAUCGAUCAGCACCAUUCCUUUUAGGAAUAAGUGUAAUAGCAGUCGUAUUCACCCCUUGAGGGAAGUAAUUGGUCUCAAAGAAGUGUAAGACGACAUCACAGAAACCCUCUCCAACCACCGUCCAAGCUCCUUUGAAGAAGCCAACUGAAUACCCAUCAGGGCCUGGAGCCUUUCCACCAUCCAUGGAGAACAGAACACGUCUCACUUCUCCCUGCCAAUAGGCGACUGGAGGGCCUGACAACACUCCUCAGUCCAUCUAAACUGAACAAUCUCCUCAAUACUAGUAGAGAGCUCUCCAUAGCUAAUAUUCUGAGAACCCAGACUAUCUUUGAAAUAAUUCACUACCACCUGAGUCACCUGAUCAUGGUUAGUCAACCGAUUUCCAUCUGGGUCAAUAACUGAUCUCAAAGCAUUGCUGCUCUGCCUUGAUCGAACAGAUCGAUGAAAAAAGGCAGUAUUCUGGUCAUCUAGCUUCAACCAUCUGGUUCGCGACUUCUGACGCAUAGCGGCUUCCUCCACUCUAACCGCUUUCCAAAAGUUUACCGUGGCUAAGCUCGCGUGAUUACUCGCCUCCUCCGACAGAGAGUUCGUCUCCAUCUCUCUUUCAGCUCGGUCCAUGGUAUCAUUGGCAAGACGAACAUCCUCACUGAUGGUCCGGAUAUGCCUACCAAAAUGUCUGCGAAGAAUCGACUUGAGAUUUCUUAAGUUCCUCACAAUAUUCACAAUUGGAGAAACUCUAGUAUCUUUGGUCCAAGCAGAGGACACAACAUCCAUAAAGGACGCUUCUUGAACCCAAUGGUUAAAGAAACGAAAAGAGACCACUUGUUGGCUUCGCUGAUUACUGGGAUAGACAAGUAUGGAGAAUGAUCAGAAAUACCCCACGGAGGACGUUAACCCUCAUGUUAGGCCAUGUACUAAGCCCCUCAUCAUUCACUAGGAUACGAUCAAGUCUCUUCAUCAAACCCGACCCAUGUAUCUUACUAGUCCAAGUAAACCAGUUCCCCUGGACCGCGUGUUCAACAAGGUCCGCCUCUCGAAUAGCCAUGUCAAACUCCUCCAUAUCCCCACGUUCGAGCACCCCGAAUGCUUCAGACUGGAGUCUGAUGGUGUUAAAAUCACCAAGACCAUACCCGGUCCUCUCCAACCAGCAGAGAUCUCAGCCAUUUGCCUCCAUAAAACACGUCUCUCGAUGUUACUAUUAUAGGCAUACACACACAGAACCUCUACCUUCUCCCAGAGAUCAAAUCUGUUAUUACACCAAAAAUAAACUGGUCGACAACCUCGUUAGUCGUAACACAAAACUGUUACGUUUCCACAUAAUCCACAUUCGACCUGCUCCACUAUCGCUGUAGUUACUAAUGAACCCCACGAAUCACAAAUCUUCUAGAUAUCGAGACAAAGUUCUCCUCUCGAACUCUAGUCUCCAGGAUGCAACAGAAACCCACCGUAGACACAGCUAAGAAGUCCUUCACCGCUCUACACUUUAUAGGGCUAUUAAGGCCCCGCACGUUCCACGUACACCAACUAACCAUGAGGUCGUAUGGGAGCCGCCUCUCCCAUAGGAAUUACAUCACCUGCAGUACUCAAAAGGACCAUAGAAGAGUCAUCUACUCGUAAGGGAGGAGGGGAGGCAUCCACUAUAGAUAAAGGCCAUUUAUCUCCUUUAUCCACCUCCAUGAGGUUGUUAAAGGAGUUAGUGAUACUCACUUCCGCCCUUUUCCCUCUGUCCCAAAUAGAGAUCAUUCCCCUAUUUUUCCUGUCAACUGGGGUAAAUUCCUCCCAAUUUACCUCCACCUUUUCAGCAGUUUAUGGGUAAUAAUUUCUCCUUCUUCCAUGUGUUGGAAGGAUUCCAACACAACAUCUUCAUACUCCCCACAAAUUGGAACCACCUCUUUAGUAGGAACAACCUCUUUAACAGGAACCUCUUUACUUGCAGCUUCCUUUUUACUAUCUUCAUUGCCUCUUUUCUUAGGGCAGGUGUUCUGCGAGUGUCCAAAAGAUCGACACAAGUUACAUUUUUUCGGUUUCCACUCAUAAGUGACAGUUACAAUAAAUUCCUCUCUCUAAGGUUGACUGUUACUUCGGCAGGCAUAAUACUGUCCACAUUCAAUUCCACACAUAUACGGGCAUAAGAAAGACGACGCCUCUCUUUAGUAGCAAGAUCAACUGAAAGAGGUUUUCCUAUUGCACUCGCUACCACAGCCAAACCAGCAUCCGUCCAUAGCUCCAACGGAAUCCUCCCUAACUUUAUCAAAACAUGAACUGAAUCAAAGACAAAGGAUUCAGGAACUAUACCUGGAGUCCAUUUGCGGAGGAGCAUAGGUUUGCCUCCAAGGUGCCAUGGGCCACGGGAUAAAUCCACUCUAUCGACUUCAGAUGUUUGAAUUGAAAGCAGAUGAGCCCAUUCUCCAUCAGAGUAAUUGUUGGCAUUUCAAUUCUACCCCAAAUCUUCUCUAUAAGACGAUAGAUGACUAGAUACAGCAAUUUUGCAUCAAUUAAUUGGCUGACGAGGGAGUUCUCCCACACUCUAACUCCUUGACUAAUAACUUCUUCAAACGGGGUCACCACAAUUUUCUCUCCCACGGUAGUAGAGGUGUAUAGGUCAUAGAGAAACCUCUUGUUGAGCCAAAUAAGGAAGCCCAUGAAUUUUUGCCUGCACCUCCAGAAUUAUUAGAUUUCUGCACCUCAUGCCCACGAAUCGAAACAGGCGGCCCACCAUUUGAAUUAAUACCAAACGAUUCUCUAAUGGCUGGCCCAUCAUUCAAAUGCCCAUCAACCGGCCCAAUCUUUGGGGCACUUGCAAUAGCAUCCAGCCCAGGUCCAUAUCCUUCGGCUGUUGCAAUUUGCCCAACAUGCUGAACACUUGAAGCACCAGCAGGUAAGCACUCCUUCUGUGAGAUCCAGUUUCGUGUGAGAUGGGCGGCCCAUCAUUCAACGAUGGCCCAUCAACCAGAAAUCCAUGACCAAUUCCAUUCGUAAAUGUGUCCACACCAUUCGCUUCAGCCCCUUUACCGGCUCACUGGGCUUCAUCACGUUUUCAUUCAAAACAAUCGGCCCACACGCCUUUGGGCCAACAAUCUUCAUGGGACCAUCUCCGCUCGGUCCAUUUCCUGUAUUUCAGUUUUUAUAUGUUUCACGGUUCACGUAAACCGGUUCGGGUCCACUCAUGUCCGACCAUUUCUUCCUCACAGAAAUUAGGUCAGCCUUUGCAGUCGCCGCCCUUCGGUCGUUCGCCGCCAUAUCAUGUACGCGUUGAAGGCUUGACAUCACACGUUUCUUCACCUCCUCAAUGUCACUGGAUAAUUUCUUCAUCGUUUCAUGCUUAGGACAUCAACCCAACACCCGUGAUGAUCUUUUCGGCCCCAAUCUGGGAACACGAAUGAACUCAAAAAGAAUUGAAAUUCAACCGAGGAGAUUCAUUCGAGAUCCGUUCAGCAAGUGAUUAAAUCACGGUCUUCAAACCCAGAACUGAUAGCAAUAAAUCGAUUCGUACCACACGCAAUACUUUCAAGAUAGUUCAAAUCAAUUCAGCUUGGAAAUCGAUUUAAACAAUUUCUAGACAGACGUUAAUUCUCCCGAAUCAAAACGAAUAUCAUUCGUAAUGGUUCAAUUGAUCAAUUGUAAUCAAUUUCGAAAUGGAUACCAAAUGACAUUAGUUUUCACAUUCAAUCUGCCAACAUUGAACGAAUUACCUUCGAAUUUGAUCCCUUGCUGCGCCGCAGCACUCACCAACGUUCACCUCCUUCACCAGUCGAGUGAGAGAACUUGGAAAUCCUAGAGAGAUGCGUGUGAGGUACACGCGCCCGAGAUGAAAAUUUUUCCUUUUUACUCUAAUUGAGUUUGAUUGUGGGCUUUGAAAAGAGGAGGAAUCCUCUCUGAUCCACAAUAGGGGAAAACGAGGCUUGUUGUCACUUCGAAGGAGUAAUCAAACUUUGAAACUAAGUGUAGAACCAUAGAGAGAUUACCCACCGGUUCUAGCAAGGCCAUUACCAUAUUUCAUACCAAAGAAAGAAAAAAAGGGGCUUGUAAAUGCAAACCAUAAAAAUGUGAGACAAUCAACAACUAUAAAAAAAACAUAUGCAAUAUGCAUUGAAAAAAGCUCAUAAAAAUUUGAAAACACCUAUAUUUAUAACCUAAUUACAAGCAAAAAUGCAUGCAAUUCAUUUGCCAAAUCUCAACACCUAAUGUUCCACUAACAAUUAGUGGAACUUAGUGGGCUAGGUGUCUAUAUCUCAUAUAGCCACAUAUCUCACUAAGAGUUAGUGGGAUUAUCCAACAAAAUGUUGGAUUUUCCCACUAACUUAGUCCAAGGUAAAAUGGUCAUUAGAUAUUUCUAGUCAAAAGUCAACUUUGACUUUUCUAAGUCAAAAGUCAAUUUUGACUUUUUACCAUUUGUCCGUCUUGACUAAUUCCAACCUCCCGAGCCAUGAAUCCGCAUUCAUUUUUCCAAAAUUCAAAUCACAUUUGAAUAUAAAGGCCGCGUCAAAGUUUGACUUUUCAAAGUCAAAAGUCAACAUUUUGACUUUUUACUAUUUUUGACCAAUUCCGAGCUUCUUAGUAUGAAUCCGCAUUCAUACUUAUAGUGAUGUAAAACAUAAAGCUCUAUUUCUAAUUAGAAGACCGACGAUUAUAUCACUGUAUAUGUCGGUUUUCCUUUCUUCUCCCAAUUCGAACAAUUCGACUUAUUUCAUCACACUGUUCUAAGUUUAAUCCAUAUGAGCUAGCAGAGGAACCUAAUGGACCUAUAGAUCAUGGGCUCCAACGAUUCAAGAUUAACUAGCUAAACUCUUUUAAACCGAGUUAAUCAACAUUCGUUAACUAACGGGUCAUUCCACUAAAGUCCCGUAGUUGCACUCCCCUCACUAUAGAUAUAUUUGUGUCCAUUUGAUAAAACCAUAAUCAGUAAGUUAAUCCUUCACAGGUUGCUCGUAACCUUGGCUAGGUCAAAAUACCGUUUUACCCCCAAGAUUACAUCUUGCCUCCUUAAGUCCCACUAAUCCACUAUUGAACAAUUGGUUUAAGGUUCAACCUAUAAACUUAAUCCCUCUCGGGCCAAUGAGAGGUGGGGCCCCUUGUUCAAGACUUGGAUUCAGUUAAGAGAGCAACCUAUCUACUAACCCUAAAGCGGGUAGGAGUGAAUUGCAUCUGACCCUAUGUUCCCAGCUAUCCACCCGAUCUUACCCCUGAAAUGGGAGCUUAUUGGGCCAACGCUGAUGAGCUGCCCUCACCUAUGCAGAUCUAAGGAUAAUCUCGUAUGAACAGGAGUUCAUAGUUAACUCAGGAUUAAGACUAAGUUACCUAGGUCAUCAAUAAUGAGAUAGUCAGUUUUAAACAGUAAACGGUGUUAUAACGUAAAAAUGACUAAUUCAUGGUUCAGUCUUAUGUAAACAUUUUACAUAGGAUGCCCCACUUUCAUGUCUCUACAUGAACGAUUAGGAUCACAUCGUUUGUACUACAAAGUGGGCCGCAUUCAUAGUCUCUUAAAUAGGCGCCCAACCUUUAUUUCAUAUACUAUAGACUAUUUAGGCUAUAUACUCGACUUGAUCCACGUUUAUGUUUACACAUAAAGUUCAAGUUUAUUCAAAAAUAGCCUUGGAACUUUGAUUUAUUGGAUUUAAGAUUAUAAUAUUUAAUUUCUCAAUAACAACUUUAUUGAAUAGAAUAUGAUUUACAAACACGAGUUUUAGGACAAAAAAUUCCAACAAACUCCCACUUGGACUAAAUUCUAGUGGUAUGAGAGAUGUGGUGUGAGAGAAUAUAUAUGAAACUAGGGCACAUGGCCAAUAAGUCUCCACUUGUCCUAGUUUACGAACAUCGUACACCUAAACUGUGUAGGUGACCCUCAAACACUUUAGCCAUGAGGGCUUUUGUAAAAUGAUCAGCUUCCAUUGUGGAAUUAGCUAUACAAGUUUGCUUUAUGCUUCUCCAAACUACUGCUCCUCCAUUUAGAGUAAAUAUUGAUUCUGAUGUAGACUUUCUAACAUCUUUAUCAGUUUGAAAAUCUGAAUCAGUGUAUCCAGUAAGGAUCAGUGUAUCACUUUGAUUUAUUGGAUUUAAGAUUAUAAUAUUUAAUUUCUCAAUAACAACUUUAUUGAAUAGAAUAUGAUUUACAAACUACGAGUUUUAGGACAAAAAAUUCCAACAGUUCCAAAUAUGCAUCUAUCAAUCACUUUAUACUGUCACAACAGUGGUGCAGUUGCAAAUUCAAGAGAACCUAAAAGCCGUAAACGGGGAAAACAUAUCGAACGUAAGUACCAUCUUAUUAGGAAAAUUGUAUAUCGUGGUGACGUUGUAGUAACCCAGAUUUUUUCAGAGAAACUGUGGAUGCCGCCCACUUUGUAGUUAGUACAAACGAGAUGAUUCUGAAUCGUUCCAGUACAUACAUGAAUGACCCGUUAGUUAACGAAUGUGGAUUAACUCAGUCUAUAAGAAUUUUGUCAAUUAAUCUUGAAUCAUUGGAGUCCAUGAUAUAUAGGUCCAUUAGUUUCCCUUGCUAGCUCAUAUGGAAUAAACUUAAAACAGUGUGAUGGAAUAAGUCGAAUUGUUCGAAUUGGAGAAGAGAGAGAAACUGACAAGUAUAUGUGUUAUAGCCAUCGAAUUUCAUAUUAGAAAUAGAGCUUUGAGUUGUUGGGCUUUAGUAUUCCAUGGACAUGCAAUUUUGCAUGGAAAAUCCUUAUAAAUAGGGUCGUUGACCUCAUUUGAUGGGCUGGCUAUUGAAUUUGGGCUCUUGUACCAAAUUGGAUUUCUUUUUCUUAUUUACAUAGAAAAAAAAAUUACCAAGCCCAUUUCUUUUUCCAUCUAUUUCUUUCUCCCGGUACUGAAUCUUGAGGAUAGUAGGUGAACCCUAUUUUAGAAUAUAUUGAAGGAUGAAACGUAACUCUUUCACGGAAGUGGGGGCUCUCCACUCCUUAAUAGCUCACAACUUAUGUUCGUCCAUUCAAAUCUUUCUACAUUCGAUGAUGUGACCCAGAAAAUUGAUACGCUAUUUAGCAAAAACACUUUUCUCUUUCUUGAAAUAUAACUGAUUAUGUUGGAGCUUGUCAAAACUCAAACUCUUCGACACGCUCUUCCAUUUGUGCGAUAGAACUUGAAGAGCUACUUCCACGUUCAAAACUACCUACUUUGGUGGUUUUAUGUUCUAACGAAUCAACCCUCAGCGCCAAUUCAUUUAUGGGUAGUUUGUCUAUUUAGGCAUUCAAUGCGUCUAGUUCUCUGACUUUUUCUUUAAACAUCUCAAGUUCGGUCUGGAGAAAUCUUACUUCGUUUGGCAAUUCUUUCAUAUCCAAGAAUUCCUCUUCAAUCUCAGUCAGUCGCUCAGAUUGCAACUUCGAUAGUUGUUUCAUUGUCGACAUAAUUGCAUCUCGCUUAGCCAAGGAGCUAACAAAGCUUUAAUACCACUUGUCACAAAAUGCAACUUUUCAAAUACGGGACGGGUGAUUGUGCAACACUUGUUCUAAAUUGAUGAACAAGGCAACCUUGUGAAAUUUGAAAGUUGUGGACAAACUUGUUGUACGAUGUAGCCUCGCUUCAUCUUUUGAGAGAAAUUGGUUUUAUAAAACGUGAGAGAUAAAGAAAAACAAUGAUAACAUCCUUAAAGAAAAAAUUGAAUAUUGUCAAUUGCAAAGAAAGCUUAGAUUUGCAAAAAUCACAACAGGACUUAGUUGGGGAUUCAAUUACCAUGCCUCCCCUACAAUACAUCUUAAACUUUUUUAGCUUUGACAACCUUGCAUAUGAAAAUUGCGAAACGACGCACCUUAGGUCGGUGACAACAAAAAGUAAGCAGUUGACUAAACUAAGUACAAAGCAUAAAGAUAAAAUGGUUUGAGGAUAUUCGAGCAUGCGGCCAUAGGAAAAUAAUGCCUUCGACAAGCACACUUGUGACACUCUGCGUGCCACAAUCGCAAUCUUUCAAACAUGGAACGAGCAAUUGUAGAACACUUGUUUUGCUCAGUCAAUAAGUCAGUCAUGUAAAAUCUGAAAAUCACGAACAAACUCACGAUAUGAUAUAACCUCCCUUCCCGUUCUUGAAAAAAUUGUUUUAUAAAAUGUGAGAGAGAAUAUCAUUAAAAACAUCAUUAAAGAAUGCGUUGAAGACUUUCAAUGGCAAAUAAAAAUUUGAUUAUAAAGAAUACGAUAAGACAUGGUUGGGGAUUCAACUAUUGGGUCUCUCCUAUAGUACAAUUUAGACUUUUUGAGCUUUGACAGGUUUGCAAAUGAAAAUGUGUGACACCUCACACCCUAGGUCUAUGACAUAAAAAGGAAAGCAAUAGACUAAACUAAAUACAAGACAUAAAGAAAAGGUGAUUUUGGGGUAUUUGGGCAUGUGGCCAUAGAUAAACCACGCCUUAAACAAGCAUGCUGGUGAGAACAGAAGCUUAUAGUUAGCUCAGUAUUAAGAUUAAGUUAUAUUUGAUAUCUAUCAAUGAAAUAGUAAGUUUUUCAAAGUUAACGAUGUUAUACUUAAAAGUGACUAUUUCAUGGUUCUAGUCUUUUGUAAACUCUUUACAUAGGAUGUCCACACUUUCAUGUCUCUAGGAUUUAGGAUCACAUCGUUUAUACUAAAUACAAAGCAGACUGCAUUCAUUGUGUCCUGGAAUAAGGUGCCUAACUGUAUUCGUACAGUCUAUACUAUUUAGGCUCUAUACUUAAACUUGAUCAACUUUUAUGUCUCUACAUAAAGUUCAAGUUUACUUAAUAAUAACCUCGGGUCCUUAGUUUAUUGGCUUUAAGAUUAUAGUAUCAAUAACGACUUUAAUGAAUAGAUUAUGAUUACGAGUUUUAGGACAUUUAUUACAACAUCUAGUUCUUACAACUUUUGAUUCUAGAGUGUCAACUCUUGUCAACAACUCUUAAAUGGGUAAUCCAUCGAGAUGAUCGAUCAUUGCAGCAAUAGUGUUAGUGAUAUAUAUUAAACCACCAAUUGUACGUCUGUAAUUAUCAUAAAAAAAUAAAACUACAAACACAAUGCUUUUCUUUCGAUUCUUACGUUUUCACGUAAGCUUUGGUUUCGUAUAUAUUGCUUUCAAUAUGGUAUUAGAGCUCAUUAAGCCUAAACGGAUAUUUGGUUCAAGAUAGGUGAAACCAAAGAGGCACCAUCUUGAAGGGGCAUGUUCCCACAAUUGAAAAACCAAGGAAACUUAGACUCCUUAUAAAAUAGAUGAGCUACUCCUCUCAUUGCCAAUUGGUAUUGUGAUGAAACCUCAUACUUUGGUAAUAUAUAAUUAAAUUUACCUUCAACCACUAGCUUAAGCUUUUGGGUGAAUUUGGGGUUUAAUAUGGUAUUAGAGCAGGUGGUCCAAAAGGUCUUAUGUUCAAGUCCCUGUAUUGGUGUUUCCUUCCCAAUUAAAAUUGAUGUUCACUUGUUGGACCUUUUAGAUAUUUCGAACCCAUAAGUGGGGGAUUGUUAGUGAUAUAUAAUUAAAUUUACUUUUAAUCACUAGCUUAAGAUUUUGGGUGGUGGUUUAAUUAAUAGCAUCAGCUUUCUAAAAAAUUUCUUCAAGGCGGGUUUCCAAGAAGCGAAUUGAGUUAGGAACUUUCAUUAGGUAGAGCAUUUGCUCUUCAACCUUUACCAGUCGGUCCACAUGGGCCUUGCCCGACUAUUUUGUUAUGGACAUGUUUACAUUUUAACCGUUAAUAAGCCAACUUAGGCUAUCACACCCCACCAUGAGCACCUACUUGCGUGGCUCGAGAUAUGGCGUGAAGCCAAUCGAUAGCACCCACGUCAAGAACGACACCAUUUGACCCUUAGCUUGAACGUUUAAACUCUAAACAAUAGCGGAAACAUAACACAUAAAUUUUACUAAAACCAAUUGGGCUAAACCUUUUUCAUUUAACAACCUUAGACAAGUUUUACAUAGAAAAAACGUAAUCUUAUUUAUCUAGAACAAAACCUUAUAAAACCUUCCCAAAAGCCUAAGUCUGAUAGCACAAAAGACUAAUUUAUCAUUAGUACAAAAUAACAGGACACAUACGAUAACAAAAUGAAAUCCUUCAGUAGACAGGUAGCAGCAAGUUAGGCUUAGAGGACACGAUCUCUACCUAGAAAGUGGGAAAACAUUUUGAAUAUUAUGCAUUUUGAAGAGUAAACAAUAUGCUAGAAUAAAUACCUUUAAACAAUAACACGCUUGAAAGACUUUUCAUAACAUAACUUAAAUAUUUUAUCAUAAAUCCGUCAUAAAUCAUGACUUAAGAACAUGCUUGAAAUCACUUUAAAUAAAACAUUUUCCACUCACAGAUACAAGCUCAAAUCCUUGGUUUAUAAAUUUGUAUGAUCUUCUCAUGUCUUGAAAUAAUGGUAAAAUAGUACAAUUAAUUAUCUUUUGCCAAGAAAAUAUCAAAAGUAUACUUAAAAAACUCAAAAAAUUACCAAUAGCUCAACACGCAAUAUGACACUGCCUGACACGAAUGGGUGGGUGGCAGGGCCUUGGUUGGGCGCUGGCUACUGUGUUGAUCUCACAAGAGGCUUUUCAUGCGUGUUGGGCAUGCCCGCGUGCUAACCUCACACACAAGCACAUUGUGAACCUCACUUGGUUUGCGUGCUUGGCAUUUCGUAUAGCCCUCCUCAUGUGCAUUCUUGGCUAGUGCAUUUCUUGUGUCACAAUCGCGAGCUUUCAAACACGAGAGGCGCGAUUAUGUUGCACUUGUUUUACGUAGACAACAAGUUAGCUGAUCAAAAUCCAAAAACCACAGACAAACACAUGAUACGAUGUAGCCUCUCUUCAGGUUCUUGAGAAAAUGUUUUAUAAAACGUGAGAAGAAAGAAAUUCAAUGAAAAUAUCGUUAAAGCAAGCAUUGAAGACUGUCAAUUGCAAAGAAAAACUUUGAUUGCGAAGAGUGCAACAAGGCUUGGGCAGGGAUUCAACUACUAUGUCCCAUCUAUAGUACAUUUUAGACUUUUUUAGUUCUGGUAGGCUUGCAUAAGAAAAAGCCAAGUCACACCCAAGGUUUAUGACAUAAAAAGGAAAGCAAAAAGUAAAACUAAAUACAAAACAUGAAAACAAUGUAAAUUGGGGGUGUUUGGGCAUGCGGCCAUAAGUAAACAGCGCCCUGGACAAGCAUGCUUGUUACAUUCUUCCCCACUUAAACAAUUGACGUCCCUGUCGAUUGGCGAAGCUAGAAUUCCUCGAUCUUCUUCUUUCACGCUCCAAGGUCUUCAGCACAUUCCUAACGUGUUUCUUCCACAUGGAGGUUCUUUCACUUCAGUAGGAAUUCAUGUAUCUUCUUCAUGGGUAUACCCUUCCUCACUCUCUUAGGAAGGAUUUCUUCCAUUUCUUUAUUGUCUUUCUGCUUUAGGUCACUAGAUGACCAUACACCAUUGUUGCACUACUGGUCAUCUGGAUCUUGAUGGUAAGGUUUCAAGUUGCUCACAUGAGCUACUAGAUGAUUUUUUAUCCAUGCAGGCAACGAUACCCUAUAGGAUGAAUUUCCAAUUUUCUUCAGAACUUCAACAGGCCCUUCGUAUUUUCUGGUGAGAUGCUGAUGUUGAUGUCCUCUAAAUCAAAUUUGCUUUGCUUUAAACUCUAUGAAGAGUUGGUCUUCCGCUCAAAACUUGAGCCACAUCCAUCAACUAGGCCCAAUUCUUUUGUCAAAAUCAACAAAAUGUAGUAGAUAUUCCUUAAGCAUACAAUUGAAUCCUUCAGUUUGGCCAUUCGUCUGAGGAUGGCAGCUUAAGGAUAUAUUUAGGCGUGUCCCCAAGAAGGCGAAUAGUUCGGUCCAGAGAGUACCAAUGAAUCUACCAUCCCUGUCACUCACAAUGCUUGAUGGAACUCCCCAUAACUUCAAGACGUUCUUAAAGAACAAGUGUGCUAUCAGCUCGACAGAACAUAGUUUUGUAGUGGGGAUGAAGGUGGCGUACUUCGAGAACCAAUUGAUUAUAACCAAGAUGCCUCAAAGUCGUUCACCUUUGGGAUGUGUAAUAAAAUCCAUGGAUUUCGCACAUUCUACUAAAGCCUGAAGCCCCGUAUGCUGCAAGAAUCAGUGUUGCCAAUCGAGGUUGCAACGUUUCAAAUGCAACUGAUCAGCAUACCAUUCAAAAUUUGAAUUUUCAACAUGACGAGUUUGUAACUUUAGUGCCCCUUGGAGAAGAAAAUGAAAUUCAGGGUAUGUGUAAUUCAGGUUUUGUUCCACAAGAUAGUACAAUUUAAAUUAUUCUCCAUAUGUUGCUUAAUUAUCUCAUAACGGUUUAUUUAAACCAGGAUGCAGUGCAUGACAGCAACGGUCCAGUUUCUUUAGCAGAAAUAGAGAACAACACGACAGCUAGUAUUGCAAAAUUAUCCAAUACUCUUGGUAAUUUGGAUGAGACACAUUGUUCUUGCUCUAAACAUAGCGCAAAGAGAGUUUGGGAAGCAUCACUUUCUUCCCUGACGUCAAAGAAAGUAAAAGGAGUCAAUCUGGACCAUUUCCAUUCCCACUCUAACAAAAAUCUUGAUCCUAAAAGUGAUGUAUACGAUACCUGCUCUCAAGGAUGCUCUUUAGCCAAUUCAAAGCAUGAAAUUUUAUCAAGUAUUUAUCCUAAAAAUCCAACCAAUCAGUGUACACAAAAUUUUUGUCAAGAAUUUGGAAGUGUAAAUGUGGCAUCAGAGGACCUCAAUUCUGAAGAGCUAGAGAAGCUUCUGAUUCCUUCCCUCCAUUAUUGAUAAAUAAAAUUGAGGUUAAGGCUUAUCAUAUACAUACCCAGUCACUGAACUUCUCCAUAUUCCUUAAGAGGCAUAUCUUGCUUGGCUUAUUUGGCUGGCUCUACUCAUGUAGGCUUUCAAAAGGCGAAUCUGACAUCCUGCCAAAAAUGAUUAAUCAGUUUCUUUAACUGUUGAACUUUUAGGUUGUAUACUAGCAAGCACCUGAAGUUUAGGGAUUCAAUCUUUAUAUUAUUCUUAAGAGUUAUUCAAUAUCCCUACCUAGAAUAGACAAAUGAAGCUUGAAACUACCCAUAAUAUUAAUGUUGUUUAAUUAUGACAUUUUGUUAUCGGUCUUUCUAACUUACGAAUAUCCAUCUUCUGAUAUGUGUUCACAUGCAUAUUUUAUGGAUGUAGAUUUUAUAGUAUUUCUUUAUUUAUUUUAUAUGGCAUUAGCUGUAUACUUUUUUUAUAAAAUAUUAAUAUAAAUAUUAAACUACCGAUUCACCAAAAAGUUUAAGCUGGUGGUUGAAAGAAAAUUCAAUUAUAGCCUUAAGCUACUUUGGUGGACUAGAAAGUAUAAUCUUAGAAACACUCAAUCUGAUCAAGUUCUCUGAAGCAAGAAUUAAAGUUCGGAAAAAUCUUUGCGGAUUCUGCAACUAUAGAAUUAAAGAGUGAGAACUGAGGAAAUUUUUCCCUUAAUUUUGGGGAUUUUGAACCCAUAGAAGCUCCUGUAAUAAUCCAAUCUGAUCUAUUUCAAAGUGAUUUUUCCAAUCCUAUUGAUUUAUGUAGAAUAAAUUCAGUGAUUUUAGAUGAAGGGCUCCAAAGUGAUGGUCUCCCAGAUACCUGAAUUUUCUCAAACAGAAUGCCCCAUCCAUCUCAAGAAAUCCUUUCGAAGCACUUAGGAAGUUGGGUGAUGAAGAAGAAAACCUUGUUCGACCGGAAAGAGUUUCAGCCCUUGAAUCCUCGCCGGAAAAAAUAAUUUUCAGAAGGCAAAAUUCAAAUUUGGGUAUAGUUGGCAUCUCCACGUACUUAGAAGGGGAAAAGACUUCAACAGAAAAGAGAGAAAAACAGACCUCGAAAGAAGAAAAGGCAGCCACCGACAUUUUAUUAUCUCAAAAAACAGCUCACCUAGCCCUCCCAACCAGAUUGUUUCAAACUUAAUGUAUCUGCAGACAUUUUAAAAGCUGACACACAGAUGGUAGGCCCCAAGAAUUUUAUUAAUCAGAAUUCCAAUGGCUUUUGGUAUUCUGACGAAUUGGAGGAAGAAUCAGAGUCCUCUCCUCCAUCAAGGAACUUCACUUGCGGGCCAUCUCCUGUUUUCAGUUCUCAACCAAAAUUACCAGCCUCUCCCAAGACUAAAAUAUCAUCUGCAAUGAAAGCUAUUCCAUUUCAUGCCAGAAAUUUUUCUAAGCACCUCAAGACCUAUACCAAAGGGAGAACUUCUUUUCGCAACAUUUGGAUGAGCUUGGCUAAUUCUGAUUUAUUAGAGGAAAGUUGUGUGAAGAUACAAAUUCCAAAUUCAGUUGGCAAAAGGUCAGUACUGCCUUCCUCCUUAAGUAAUAAAUUUUCUCAAUCCUCCUCCAAACUUUCUGGUUCAUUCUUUAAUUUUGUGCAAGAUACUUCUUGUCUAAAAAAAGUUGAGAACCUAGAAGAUGAAUUCAUGGAAGUUGAAUCAGUCACCAGUGUAAGUAUCCUUCCCCCUCAAGAGUUGGUUCCUUUCUUGGCAGCAUGUGAAAUUGAAUUGAUAUAAGGCAGAGGUAGCAAAGAUGGAGAUUAUAUCAUGGAACACUAGAGGAUUCAUGGGCUAUUCGAAACAAUUGGCUAUUAAAAAUAUUUUGAAGAAAGCUAAUCCAGAUAGAGCAUUGAUUCCGGAGACCAAAAGAGAAGAGAUUGCCAGUUGUAUUAUAAAGGCACUAUGGAGUUCAAAAGGAAUUGGCUGGUCUUUGUUUGAAGCUAGUGGCAAAUUAAGAGUUUUGCUGAUUAUGUGGAUAAAUAUAAGUUGUCGAUUAUUGAAGUUCGGUCAAGAGAAGGAAGGUCAUUACAGUGUGGCUCAUAAGUUGUUUCAACAUUAAUUUAUAAGUUGUUUGGAAAGGUUCUCGCAGAAAGAUUAAAGAAAGUCAGGCCAGGUAUUACUUUGUAAGACCUCCUAUUAUCUAUACCUAUAAAAGGAAGGGUAGAAAGAGAAAUUCCUUAGCAACCAAUGAUGAGAGAAUAAUGGGAGAGGAUCGUGCAGGUGGGGCCUGCCAGGAGGAUGAGAGAGAGAGGUAUAAAUAUGUAAUGUUGGGGUAGGGGAGGCUAGGUCUUUUUUGGUUAUUUCAAGGAGAGUAAAGGCUGCUGUAGCCUGAGGGUAUCCAGCCCCGUAUAAAGAAGCUGGGUAAGUUUUCUAUGUUGUUCUUCCUUUAUUUUUCAUAUCUACUACUGUUGAAUGUGUUUUGGCUUUUACAUAAAUAAAGAUUUACAGAGUGCUGCCUCUAUUUAGCCAUUUGGUUAGGAUAUUUUGUGUUUUAUUGUUAGAAUCCUAACAUACUUCUCCAUUACAAUGUGGCUUUCUGGAAGAGUGCCAAAUCUUGGAUCCUAUUUUAAUAGCAAAAGAAACUAUGGAGGUCUAUAGUAUCCGAAAAAAGAAAAGAUGGAUCAUUAAAUUAUACCUUGAAAAGGCCUUUAACAGAGUGGAUUGGAAAUUUUAGAAAAUGUAAUGCAAAAGAAGAUCUUCGAUGUAGGAUAUUGUGUUAUAUUGGCCAGCCUUUACAGCAUCCCCAUUUUGAAGUCUUUGAUGAUCAGGACUUUCGGAUCAGCCCUCUGCUUCAAACAGUUUUUGCUCAACCAAUCAAGGCUUAUUCUUCUUUGUUCUCAGCAUGCUGCCUUUGAUUAUGAUUUUUCUUUGGAAAGAUUCUUUUUAUCAUUUUGUUUGUCUUUGUUUUUGUGGCUUUUUGUUUUGAUCUUGUGUUGUCGCUUUUUGGAUGUUUUGAGGGCACUAAGGGGGUGUCAACCUAGUUUGAGAUGCCCGAUGCGCCUGUUGAUCUUCCCUCUCCUCUUUUGCUCUGUGUAUAAUCCUCAUGUACAUUGAGCUUUGUGUCUUUCUUUAUAUUAAUAAUAGUGAGACUCGUAUCCUUUUUUAAAAAAAGAAAGAAAAUUCAAUUAUAUAUCACCAACACUCUCCUCACUUGUGGGCUUGAAAUAUUUGAAAGGCCCAACAACUGGAAAUGGAUUUUAAUUGGGGAGGAAACGACAAUGCGAGGCUUGAACACAAGACCUUCUUGGACCACCUGCUCGGAUACCAUAUUGAAAGGGAGACAAACAAACACAAAACUUUACGUGGAAACCUGUGUACCAGGAGAAAAACCACUAUAUUUUUCUUCUUAUUAUUUUCUGAUGAAAAAUACAAUAGGUACAAGGGAGAAUAAAUAGAAUAUACAGAGGAAUAAAAAAGGAAAAUAUUUAGGAAUUAAGAAAAAUAUUCCCAUAAACUUUUCAUAAAUAUUCUAAGAUUCUAACAAUAAAAAGUUCUAUUUAUUCCAAAUUGUGACUGCUCUAAUAUGCAGUUGUUUUCUGAUUCAGAUGAUUGAGGAGCUUGGUGGUUCUCUCACUGCUGAUGGGAGUACAAGCACUCAUGUCAUUACAGGAAAAGUGCGGAAAACUCUAAAUUUUUGUAUUGCUCUCUUUUUAGGGUUAGUCUUGCAACCUUAGACGAACACUCUUCUAUGUGUCCUUUUGGCCUUUGAAUACCGAUAAUCAUCUCAUUUGCACCAAAGUUAGCAAUUCCAUGCACACAAGGCCUUUGCCGUUAUUUUUCCAUUGCCUCGUAGUUGUGCUUAGGCUGGAAAUUGUUGUGAACCUUCUAAAUCUAAAAGGGCAUAGUUUCUUAUUCUACUGCCUGUUUACUUUUAGUUAAACAUCAAAAUCAAUUCUUAUGUUUGAGUUGGAUUGUAUCAUGCUCUUCCUUUUCAGUUGUUUCUAUCGUGAUGGUGGGUAGUGGUUGUUAAGACAACCAUUAGGCUAAUUUGGGUUGCAGGCUUACUUUUCCCAUUUUACGUGUAAAAUGGCUCAAGCUCACUAAUGAAAGAUAUUUGUUGGCUAGCUAGUGUUUUUAUCCUCGAUUUCCUUCUUCCCCUAAUACAUUAUGUUAUGGAAUUUGUUAGAUACCUAGAUUAGUAUAGGGUUGGGGUAUAAGGGUAAUUAGAUAUUUAGAAAGUUACUAGUAGUUAUUGUGUAAGUGUGGUUACUAGUAGUUAUUAUGUAAGUGUGGUAACUAGGGUGGUUACAUGUUAUUAUAAAUGGAGGGAGGGUAAGUGGGGAGAAUUCUGGGAGUGAUAUAAGGCUUGGGUGAGAGUACUCAAGAGGGAGGGUUCCAAGUGCUUUAUACUUGGUUUUAUCUUGUAUUUUCUUAUAGUUACAUUAUAAUAAAUUCAGAUCUUGUUCUUGUUAGGAAGUAUAUGUCUCCAAUAUUAUUUAAAUACAGUAGAAGAAUUAAAAGGGUAAUAUUGACCCACACGAGAAUAUAGGAGAGAUUAUAGGAGGAGAGAAUAUCGGAGGAGAUCUUUCCCAUUAGUUUGUUAGUAAAGCAAAAUAAAAGGGAGGAAAGAGGAGGGAGAAAGGGGACAAAAUAUUCCAAAGAAGUAGAGGCUGCCGUCUUUCGUGCUCGGGAGAAGUAGAGGGUCCAAGUCAAGUUCUUUUUAUUCGACAAUCUCCGGAAGAAUGGAAGGAUCGUCGAGCAAAGGACCAACGAUUGAGAGUAUCAUCGAAGGUGGAGGUAAGACAUUGAAGGAAAUCAAGGUAGAAGGUAAAACAAACAAGUUUGAAAGGGAUGAAAACUCAAACGAUCAUAGCAAAUUCAAGAAGGUUGAAAUGCCUGUGUUCAGUGGCACUGAUCUGGAUUGUGUUUAUUUAGAAUGGAUUGGAAUCUUCAGGUCCAUAAAUCGAUGGACUCCAAGAAGUUGCUGAAUCCAUAGAAGAAUCGAGGAAAACGCGAUUGCAACGGUUAUACAACGAAGGUGAAGAGGAUGGCAAAGAGUGACCAAGAAGAAACUAUAGAGGAAGGUCGAUGAUGAUUACCUGUGAGGCUCGAAAUGAAGACUCGAGUGAAGAAAAAUUUGUUGCUCACAGAAACACAAAAUGGCUGGUUGCAAUGGAGAAAGAAGAAGCCGACAGUUACCGGUCUACAGAGGCUCGAGAAGGUGGUCUGGAAUAGGGGUGAAUCACGUGACGAGGAAGAAGUUGCUGCACACAUGAUGGUGCCAAUGACGUGGUAGAAAUUGGUAGGAAAGAGGAUUAGGACAAAAGGAACAAUCUUGGGUUUUACUAUUUCAAGUGGGCUUCAACUUACUCUAAAUGAGCUUCAACUUAUUCUAAAUAAAACAUUGGGGCACAUCAUUUUGUAGAUGAAGUGGGUGGAGAGUUCCAAAAAUAGGAGGGAAGAAAAACGUGUAUGUAGGUGGGUCCUAGGAAUGAAACCGGCGGCAGUAUGAUUUUGAUCUUGACGCAACAAUUUGAUUAUGGCCUAGCCCACUAGAGAUGAAGGGUUUGAAAAUUAAACACUUGUUGGUGAUAUGCAAAGGGUUAACUAAGACAAUGUGUUAUGGAAAAGGAAAAUUCAAGUACAUUGGGCUGCUUUGUGGGCUGAAGUCAAUGGACCUUAUUGGAAUCGAGAGUUUUUCAAAGCCGAAGGGGAGGAUUUCUUUUUCAACAUUGAAGAGCAGAAUGCUGGGGAUUGUUUGCAAUUAAAAAGAGAAAAAAAGAAAGGGGCCUUGAUCAUGUUUGUAAGCACACCUUGAGGACAAGGUGUUUUGAAGGAUCGGGUAAUGUUAGAUACCUAGAUUAGUAUAAGGUUAGGGGUAUAAGGGUAAUUAGAUAUUUAGAAAGUUACUAGUAGUUAUUAUGUAAGUGUGGUUACAUCUUAUUAUAAAUGGAGGGAGGGUAAGUGAGGGGAGAAUUCUGGGGAGUGAUCUAGGGCUUGGGUGAGAGUACUCAAGAGGGAGGUUCCAAGUGCCUUAUACUUGGUUUUAUCUUGUAUUUUCUUAUAGUUCAUUAUAAUAAAUUAAGAACUUGUUCUUGUUAGGAAGUAUCCUAACAGAAUAACUCUAGAAGGUCUCAUGUUAGCGAAUGAUAAUCUGCGUUAAGUGUGUAUUUGUAGGAGUUCUUCUCCCGGGCAUCUAUGGUUGAUAUUCUUUACCUUUCAAUAUAUCAAAGCCAAGGAUUCUUUUGCAUUUCUCUAUGCUUUUUCUUUACCCAUUUAUGCUUUUUUUAGUUAUAUUUGAGAGUAGUAUUUCAUUUCUUUCAUGUGAAAUGUUGAACUUCAGUAGUGUGGAGAGUGGAACGUAAUAUCUUACCUUUUAUAUUAGUAAACUUGAUUUUAAGCAAUGUGUUUUUGAAGAUUUUAUGUUGUAGAAUGUUUUUUGUUCUUCAAGCUACUGUUCUUAACUUUAUUUUCUCCUGUUAAUGUUCUCAAUGAUUAUCGAGCAUAUGCAUUACCAUGUGGCUUCAAGCGUGUCAGUGUGCUCUUGCUCAUAAUUUUUACUAUAUCUUGUUACUAAAAUUGCAAGUUAAUUGCAAAUUACUCAGAGCUUGGAUUGUCUCCUCCAGUUGGUUAAAGGAAAGCUACCGGGAAGGCAGAUUUGUUGGUAAGUUCGAAUGGCUUGCUAGUAUCAAAGCGUAAUGUAUUUUCUUCCACUUAUGUUUUUCAUCCUACCUAAUUUUUGUGAUUGAUUAAUUCCUUAUGGAUCUGCAGACGAGUUGCCUUACAUACUAAAUGAUGAUGACUACAUAUCGAAGUAUCGAGCCAGCCUAAAAGCUGUAGUUCUCAGGGCAAAAGCAUGUUCUUGAGCUUUAUUUGAAGGGUAUGAUGUUUGCAUAUCAGCUCACGCUCAACCACCACCUAAAACUCUAUCCCUGAUAGUCAAGUCAGCCGGUGGAAAUGUAAGUUCUCUGUUAUUGUACAAAUCUCGAGUACUAGGUUUGGUUCUCUAUAUUACAUAUACAACCACUAUAAUAUGGCUAUCCUCCCAUCUAAUGAAGACGUGAAGUUCUCAAAAAACAAGCACGUAUACGAAUUCUAGACAUGGGUCAAUAAAUCAUAGACAUGGUGACGUGUCAUUUUUUUCUUAAAAAUAUAGGAUAGUGCUAGAACACAGUUUUAAUAUAUAUAAUUUAAAAAGUAUGUAUCAUAUUUAUAUAGAAAUUCAAAGUCAAUAAGUUUAUGUAUUUAUAUGCUUAAAAAUAAGCUUGUCCUUCACUCAAAACUUAUUCAAAGCCAAGAGUUUAAUAUGUGUGUGUGACCAAUCUUGACCUUUAUUGCAUUGGAAUACUUGUUGUCUAACACAUCUACUGUACUAAUACGUGUUCAACACGUGUUCUCCGAGUGUUCCAUACAUAUUGUUUAUUGAUACACUACCCAAACUAGAGUGUAUGUGCUUCUUUAAGUCUUUAAUAUUUAUGUUUGUUUUGAUCCUAGGAAUUGAGCAUGUAAUGUAAAAAGUCUAUGCACAAGGGGUCAUAUGGCCAUCUCCGUGUUUCUUUAAUUAUCAAAUUUGUUCAAGUUUUUAAUUGUCUCUAGAUCGAAAUCUGGAGUUAUUUUUUGUGAUUUGGUGUACAAAUACAUACAUCCAUGUUUCUAAUUAUGAUUAGAUUGUUUUCUGGUCGCAACAUUUUAUUGUUUAGCUUGUCUUUGAUCUUGAACUUACUAUUAUGUUGAUUUAAAUUCCAUUUUAGCCUUAGAACUUUCAAAACAUCCAUUUUAGUCAUCGAGCUUCCAAAACGUAGCCAACUAACGGUUUUAGUAUUUUGUAAAUUAUUUUAUCAAUUAAUAUUCAUUUAUCCAAUACUCAUCGGUCAUUUCUGCUAUAUGUGAUUGGAAUAUAUCUCAUAGGAAGCAUUUUGAAAGUUGGGAAAAGAUGAAAAAUUUUAGGGACUAGAACAAGAAUUUGUUUAAUAUUUUUUGAUAGGGUGAAUACUUGCAAUUUCCUUGUAGUAUAUACAUAAUUUUUUCUCUCAUUUGGCAAAUUCAUUAUGCUUGAAAAUUUAGGUGAUUCAUGAGCUAGAUAAAGUAAACAACGUAUGGAAGACGAGCUUUGUGGCUUGUGAGGAAGACGUGGAGGAAGCCUUGGUGGCCGUAGAAAAAGGGAUAUGGACUUUCAACGUUGAAUGGCUAAUGGCAUGUAUAAUGAGACAAGAAGUAGACUUGGAGGCCCCUCAAUUUGCUGAGUCCCUAUGAGAAACAAGGUCACCCUAACUUUCAAUUUUGAACAAGCAGCAGCCAGCCAUUUCGUCCUUGUGUAAAUCCACUCUUUUCUCAACUCACUCUAAUUUGGUACAUAAACAAACUCUGAUCGCUCCAUCUCUAUAUUCAUCAGUACAUAAAAGACGAUAAGUUUAUUCAUGGAGAAAGUUGGAUGUAAGUAUGUUUUAGGAAUGGUCCUUCAUUUAGUAACUUUGGGAAUUGUAAAAUGAGGUAAUGAAGUUCUAUCAAGUUGAAUGUUCUUGUUUAUGUUGGAUGAGACUGAUUCUUGGAUACCAGAAUUAACUUGAAGUACGUGUUUGAGUUCCAUUGGAGUGAUUAGAGAAAAAAUGUUCCUUUAAAAAGGGUAUUUUUUUUAUGUAGACUUUCUUUUUAUUAAAAUUGCUUAAAAUACAAUUUGAGAGUAUUUCAAUAGCUUUCAAAGAGUUGUCAAACACUUGUAGUUUUUCUAAAAUAACAUAUUUUCAAAAUUAAUUACUGUAAUAGUUAAACAAAAGAUUCUUUCCCUUAGAACUUUUAAAGUUUGUCUAGUUACCUCUUAAACCUUUCAAUUGUUUAAUAGGUCUUUCAAUUUUAUGUUUUAAGUGUCUAUAAAUUUUGAUUUUUUUUAUUUGUUAGAUAUAAAUCUGAAGAAAUGAAUAAAGUAGAUUUGUAAGUUUAAAAUAGUUUAAAAGUUGAGAAAUUAAAUUUGUGGUUUAAAAAGUUGGAGUAAAUAGUUUGUGUUAAGUCGGGUUGUGAUAUUUUAUUUAUUUAUUUUAAUAAUAGAAGAGAGGGAGACGAAAACUGCAAACUGAAGGGAGAAGAAGCGGUGGCUGAAUUUGUAUAUUUCUCCUUUCUUUUCAAUUUGAGAAAAUUUCUUUGCAAUUCACUUUGAAAAGGAAAUGAAUUGUAACGACCCAACUUUUCUAGGUAAGUCGAGGUCAUUAAUUUUUGACAAAAGACUUUGGUUGAUACAAAAUGAAACGUAAGCCAAUUUAAAAACAACUUUAAGUCAGGCCUGAUUUUCUAAUAUAAAAAAAAAACUUAAAAAUAAUACUAUUUACAAAUAAAAGUUUGUAAACUAAAUUUCAAUACAACAUCUUAAACCUCAAAAGAAACCAUAAGCGGAAGCAAAAUGACACGUUUCCUAUGGCAAUCACGCUUCCUUCCUGCCCCUCGCCGAUUUGCCACCUUUAUUUCCUUUGCCUGAAAAUUAAACAUAAGAAGGGUGAGUAUAACAAUACUCAGUAAGAGACCCUCUACUGGUCCCGUCAGGGGAAAAUAAAUUGUUAACAUUCUAUUGGGACACCCUGUACAGUCGCAGUCUUGUGAUCCCGUAGGAUGCACAUUUCAGUCUAACGCCCGAGGGACGUACAUAUCAGUCUAGUGUUCUGCAGAAACACAUAUCAGUCUAAUGCUCCCGAAGGUGCAGAAUAAAUUGGUGAUCCCGUGGGACACCUACAAGGCACACAUCCCAAUAAAAGCUAACAAUUUUCCCCUCAUUCCAUUCAAUCCAUCUUUCAGUUACUUCAAAAUAUAAAGUUCUUUCUCUCAACGUCCUAACAGUCAACUUAUCUCACUUUAGUCAUAUGUCUGUCAAUAACAUACUAAUACGUCAGUCAAUCAAACUAUACAGUCAAUACACCCCUCAGUUCACCAGCACACAGUCAUACUUUAGCGUAACGUACACCCAGUCUAAACGACAAUCACAAGUUCACAUCUGCAUCUCAUACAAACACAAUCUACAAUUUUCGUCCUGUCCACAUCCACACACACAUAUAUAUAUAUAUUCCAAGACAAUCACAAUAUGCAUUCAACACUAAGUCUACUUCAAUCCAUAUGUAUAUAUAUAUUUUCAGUCAAUCCACAGUAUACAUUCAACACCGAAUCUACAUCCAUACGUGUAUAUAUAUAUAUCAUCUCAACAUCUUUACUCAGUCAGAGACAAUCAUACAGACAUACAAUUCACAAUCAUAAGUGAGUCCAGUAGAAAAUCCCUUACCUCAAAGUUAGGGAAGCUCCUUAAUCAACUAACGUCCUCGAAACAAUCCUAAGCAAUACAAUACAAAAAUUCGAUUACUUUCAAGAUACAUAUCUCACUUACUUUCCUCAACGUAAGUUCCAACUCACCGAAGUAUUGGCGAACUGAACCCUCAACAAUUCAUAUAUUGGUUGUGAAUUUAAGGGAGCCCAACGUUACUCCCACACCUCAACGCACGACUGUCGAACUCGCAGCAAAAAUCCUAAGUGUGGGUCGGUCAGCGGUCGGCCAAAGGAGACGUGGCGCUGCCUCAAAAUCGAUCGACGAUCUGACGCGGCGACCGGCUUCACAAGAUGUAUGCAUCGACGGCUUCACGGAGGUGAAGACAGACGCGGUCGGAGAGUCGCGCGGCAGUGCAGAAAACAGAGGAGAACGAAAUGGGCGGCGGCUGGAAACAGAGGUUGCGCGGCAGGGCUUCACGAACCGGCCGACGGUUGCAGCGACGGAUCUGGGUUACUGCGAACUGCAAGGGUGAAGCACGAGCGGCAGCGAGGACCUGGACGGCUCGGCGAUGCAGAUCUGGACGACGGUUGUGAGCGGGGAGGCACGACAGUUACAGGUGGAUGGGCGCGGCGGUUUCGAUCCGAAGGAGAAAAGAGAGUGGCGGUUGGGUUCGGCUUCGGUGAAUGGAGACGGAAACAGACGAACGGAGAGUCACGCGGGACGACUGCUGCAAGGUUGCUUCGCGAACGGAGAUGGAGAACGGAAGGGAGGGUCGCGGCGCUGGGCGGAAGAAGAAAAGGGAAAAAAGAAAUUUUCAUUUUCUUUUCUUUUUAUUUAAAAAAUAUAUAAAAUAAAUAUAAUAAAAUAUAAAAUAAAUAUAUAUAUAUAUAUUUAAAAUUUUCAUUUUCUUUUCUUUUAUUUAAUAAAAUGUAAAAUAAAUAUAAUAAUAAAAAUAUAAUUAAAUACAUAUACAUAUUUAAUUAUAUUAAUACAUUUUCAAAUCUUCUUUCUCCCCUUCAACAUAUUUAAAAAAAAAAUCUUGAACAAAUCGAAAUAAUUCUCUCAAAAUAAUUUACCUUCAAGUUUGGGGCGUUACAUGAAUAUUUCUCCCUCAGGCUUAUCUCUUCUUCUUCUCAAUUUAUUUUCAAUUUUUCUGUGUGCUUCUCACAGUGUAUGCAUAAUCUCUCUUUCAUUUUGAUCUUCAUCUCCAUUUCAAAUAUCUCCCACACAAAGAACAAAGAAAUGAGUAAAGUAACUGAGAGAGCAUUUUGUUUUUCCCUUCAUAUGGUUGGUUACUUUUUGUCAAUUAAAUGAAAAGUGAAGAAUAAGAUAAGAUUUUCUUUACCCAUUUGCCAUCAUCAUCAAAGCUAUUUACCUCAUUUUUGUUCACACACACACAACUUCAUUUUGUUGGAUUACACUCAUUUGAGAAAAUAGCAAAAUUUUAUUAGAAGAAUAGCAAACAUGAGCAUUUCACGUGUUUUGAAUUUUCAUUAACCCUAAAAUCUCCUCGCCUGCUUUUUAGUUAAACUGUAACUAAUUUUGAAAUAUGCAAAAUUUUAGCAUAAAUAUUGAUUUUCUCCUACAUUAUCUUAACACACUUUUUUUUCCUCCAAAUAUUGGAUUUGUAUCAAAUCUUUAUUUUCAAAUUUUACUUUAUCCAAAUUUUCAUUUUUCAAAAUUUCAUCGUUAUUCUACUUUUAUUUUUGUAUUUCAUAUAUAUAUAUAUAUAUAUAUAAUUUAUAAUAUUUAAUCUUAUUUUUCUCUUUUCCUAUUCAUCUUCUUCUUCCUUUCUCUCCUCUUCAACCUACGGCCACACCACCGUCUCUUUUCUUCUUUCUCUUUUCAUUCUCCAAUCAACUUCAUCACCGUCUUCCACCUACACCGAACGUCAAGCAAAUUUUGUCCUAUCGUCGCAUCACCGUUAGACCGAGUCACUCCGGUUCCGUCACGCCAUGUAUAUUUAGAUUUCAAUUGUUCGGUUAUUUGUUGCACCGAUCCGUCUCCGUUAGAAUUUGAUUCUCAACAAUUUGGGUAAGUUAUGGAAUUUACAUAUAGAAGUGAUUGAUUUCUCUUCAAUUAUGUUUAGGUCGGUUCGUUGCACUUUAGUUUGAAAAAUAAGCUUAAGUAAGGUUAUAAGGUAAGGGAUUCUCUACUAUUGGACUCACCUAUAGUUCUGAAUUGUGUUGUCUGUAUAGUUACCUCCGAUUGAGUAGAGAUGUCGAAACGAUUGGGACGGAACCAAGAAACCGAGUCAAGGGCAUCACCGUUUGACUUUUGUGGGCAAGACUCUUUGAGAUCACUCAAAUUGGACCGUGCAGUGGUUAGAUGUGAACUUUCGAGGCCUCCGACCCCGUUCUGAGUCCGGUCGUUCCUUUCUAGGUCAUUGUGCCUUUCUUCGACGUUUUGGGACGGAACCAAGAAACCGAGUCUGGGGGCAUCACCGUUCGGCUUUUGUCGGCAAGAAACUUUGAGAUCACUCAGCAUUAGACCGCCUAGUGGUUAGAUGUGAAGUUUCGAGGCCUCCAACCCCGUUUUGAGUCCGACCGUUCCUUUCUAGGCCAUUGUGCCUUUCUUCGACGUUUUGGGACCGAACCAAGAAACUGAGUCUAGGGCAUCAUCGUUCAGCUUUUGUGGGCAAGAAACUUCGAGAUCACUCAAAAUUAGACCGUCCAGUGGGCUAGAUGUGAACUUUUGAGGACUCCGACCCCUGUCUGAGUCCGGUCGUUCCUUUCUAGGCCAUUGUGCCUUUCGUCGGCGUUUUGGGCGGAACCAAGAAACCGAGUCUGGGCCAUCACCUUUCCCCUUUUGUGGGCAAGAAACUUCAAGAUCACUCAGAAUACGACUGCCCAGUGGUUAGAUGUGAACUUUCGAGGCCUCUGACCCCGUUCUGAGUCUGGUCGUUCCUUCCUAGGCCAUUAUGCCUUUCUCCGGCGUUUUGGGACGGAACCAAGAAACUGAGUCUAGGGCAUCAUCGUUCGCCUUUUGUGGGUAAGAAACUUCGAGAUCACUAAGAAUCGGACCGCCCAGUGGCUAGAUGUGAACUUUCGAGGUUUCCGACCCAUGUCUGAGUCCGGUCGUUCCUUUCUAAGUCAUUUUGCCUUUCUUUGGCGUUUUGGGACGGAACCAAGAAACGGAGUCUGGGCAUCACCGUUCGGUUGUUGUGGGCAAGAAACUUCGAGAUCACUCAGAAAUGGACCGCCCAGUGGUUAGAUCUGAACUUUCGAGGCCUCGGACCCCGUUCUGAGUUCGGUCGUUCCUUUCUAGCCCAUUGUGCCUUUCUUUGGCGUUUGUAGACGGAACCAAGAAACCGAGUAUGGGCCAUCACCGUUCGGCUUUUGUAGGCAAGAAACUUUGAGAUCACUCAGAAUCGGACCAUCCAGUGGUUAGAUUGAACUUUCGAGGCCUCCGACACCGUUCUGAGUCCGGCCGUUCCUUUCUAGGUCAUUGUGCCUUUCUUCGGCAUUUUGGGACGAAACUAAGAAACCGAGUAUGGGCAUCACCGUUCGGCUUUUUGGCAAGAAUAUUCAAGAUCACUCAGAAUCGGACCGCCCAGUGGUUAGAUGUGAAUUUUCGAGACCUCGGACCCCGUUCUGAGUUCGGCCGUUCCUUUCUAGGCCAUUGUCCCUUUCUUCGGCUUUUGAGACGAAACCAACAAACCGAGUCUAGGGCAUCAUCGUUCGGCUUUUGUGGGCAAGCAACUUCGAGAUCACUUAGAAUCGGACCGCCCAGUGGCUAGAUGUGAACUUUCAAGGACUCCGACCUCUAUCUGCGUCCGGUCGUUCCUUUCUAGCCCAUUGUGGCUUUCUUCGAGGUUUUGAGACGAAACCAAAAAACCGAGUCUGGGGCAUCAUCGUUCGCCUUUUGUGGGCAAGAAACUUCGAGAUCACUCAGAAUCGGACCGUCCAGUGGCUAGAUGUGAACUUUUGAGGACUCCGACCCCUGUCUGAGUCCGGUCGUUCCUUUCUAAGCCAUUGUGCCUUUCUUUGGCGUUUUGGGAUGGAACAAAGAAACCGAGUCUGAGGCAUCACCGUUCAGCUUUUGUCGACAAGAAACUUCAAGAUCUCUUAGAAUCGGACCGCCCAAUGGUUAGAUGUGAACUUUCGAGGCCUCGGACUCCGUUUUGAGUCCAGACGUUCCUUUCUAGGCCUUGUGUCUUUCGUCGGCGUUUUAGGACGAAACCAAGAAACCGACUCUGGGCCAACACCUUUUCCUUUUGUGGGCUUGAAAUUUGAGAUCACUUAGAAUCGGACCGCUCAGUGGUUAGAUGUGAACUUUCGAGGCCUCCGACCCCAUUCUAAGUCCGGUCGUUCCUUUCUAGGCCAUUGUGACUUUCUUUGCGUUUUGGACGGAACCAAGAAACCGAGAGACUGGGCAUCACCGUUCGGCUUUUGUGGGCAAGAAACUUCGAGAUCACUUCAGAAUCAGACCACCAGUGGUUAGAUGUGAACUUUUUGAGGCCUCCGACCCCGUUUAGUCUGGUCGUUCCUUUCUAGGCCAUUGUGACUUUCUUCGACAUUUUGGGACGGAACCAAGAAACCGAGUCUAGGUCAUCACCGUUCACCUUUUGUGGGUAAGAAACUUCGAGAUCACUCAGAAUCGGACCGCCUAGUGGCUAGAUGUGAACUUUCAAGGACUCCGACCCCUGUCUGAGUCCGGUCGUUCCUUUUUAAGCCAUUGUGCCUUUCUUUGGCGUUUUGGGACAUAAUUAAGAAACCGAGUCUGGGGCAUCACCGUUCGGCUUUUGUGGGUAAGAAACUUCGAGAUCACUCAUAAUUUGACCACCCAUUGGUUAGAUGUGAACUUUCGAGGUCUCCGACCCCGUUCUGAGUCUGGUCGUUCCUUUCUUAGCCAUUGUGCCUUUCUUCGGCAUUUUGUGACGAAACAAAGAAACCGAGUCAGGGGCAUCACCGUUCGGCUUUUGUGGGCAAGAAACUUCGAGAUCACUCAGAAUCGGACCGCUCAGUGGUUAGAUGUGAACUUUCGAUGCCUCGGACCUCGUUCUGAGAUCAGUCGUUCCUUUCUUGGCCAUUGUACCUUUCUUCGGCGUUUGUGGACAAAACCAAAAAACUGAGUCUAGGGCAUCUCCAUUCGGCUUUUGUAGGCAAGAAACUUCGAGAUCACUCAGAAUCAGACCGCCCAAUGGUUAGAUGUGAACUUCUGAGGGCUUCGACCCCUAUCUGAGUCUGCUCGUGCCUUUCUAGGCCACUAUGCCUUUCUUCAGCGUUUUGGGACAAGAACAAGAAACCGAGUCUAGGGCAUCACCGUUGGCUUUUGUGGGAAAGAAAGUUCGAGAUCACUCAGAAUCGGACCGCCACGUGGUUAGAUGUGAACUUUUGAGGCCUCCGACCCCGUUCUGAGUCUCGUCGUUCCUUUCUAGGCCGUUGUGCCUUUCUUCGGCGUUUUGGGAUGGAACCAAGAAACCGAGUCUAGGGCAUAACCGUUCGGCUUUUGUGGGCAAGAAACUUCGAUAACACUCAUAAUCUGAUCGCCCAGUGGUUAGAUGUGAACUUUCGAGGCCUCCGACCCCAUUCUGAGUCCGGUCGUUGCAUUCUAGGCCACUGUGCCUUUCUUGGUCGUUUUGCGACGGAAACAAGAAACCAGGUAUGGGGCAUCACCGUUCGGUAUUUGUUGGCAAGAAACAUCGAGAUCACUCAGAAUCAGACCGCCGAGUGGUUAGAUGUGAACUUUCGAGGCCUCCGACCCCGUUCUAAGGCUGGUCGUUCCUUUCUAGGCCAUUGUGCCUUUCUUGGUUCUUUUGCGACGGAACAAAAUAAAUCGGGUAUGGGGCAUCACCGUUCGGCUUUUAUGGGCAAGAAACUUCGAGAUCACUCAGAAUCAGACCGCCCAGUGGUUAGAUGUGAACUUUUGAGGCCUCCGACCCCGUUCUCGAGUUCGAUUGUCUUUCUAGGCCCUUGUGCCUUUCUUCGGCGUUUUGGGGGCGGAACCAAGAAACCGAGUCUGGGAAUCUCCGUUCGGCUUUUGUGGGCAAGAAACUUCGAGAUCACUCAGAAUCAGACCGCCCAGUGGUUAGAUGUGAACUUCUGAGGCCUUCGACCCCGUUCUGAGUCUGCUCGUUCCUUUCUAGGCCACAGUGCCUUUCUUAGGCGUUUCGGGACCGAACCAAGAACGAGUCGGGGGCAUCACCGUUCGGCUUUUGUGGAAAGAAACUUCGAGAUCACUCAGAAUCAGACUGCCACGUGGUUAGAUGUGAACUUUUGAGGCCUCCGAUCCCGUUCUGAGUCCGGUCGUUCCUUUCUAGUCCGUUGUGCCUUUCUUCUGCGUUUUGGGACGGAACCAAGAAACUGAGUCUAGGGCAUCACCGUUCGGCUUUUGUCGGGAAGAAACUUCGAGAUCAUUCAUAAUCGGACCAUCCAGUGGUUAGAUGUGAAGUUUCGAAGCCUCUGACCCCAUUCUGAGUCCGGUCGUUGCUUUCUAGGCCAUUGUGCCUUUCUUGGGCGUUUAGCGACAGAACCAAGAAACCGGGUAUGGGCAUCACCGUUCGGCUGUUGUGGGUAAGAAACUUCGAGAUCACUCAAAAUCAGACCGCUUAGUGGUUAGAUGUGGACUUUCGAGGCCUCUGACCCCAUUCUGAGUUCGGUCGUUCCUUUUCUAGGCCAUUGUGCCUUUCUUGGGAGUUUUGCGACGAAACAAAGAAACCGGGUAUGGGGCAUCACCGUUCGGCUUUUGUGGGCAAGAAAUUUCAAGAUCACUCAAAAUCAAACCGCCCAGUGGUUAGAUGAUAACUUUUGGGGCCUCCGACCCCGUUCUGAGUCUGGUCGUUCUCUUCUAGGAAAUUGUGCCUUUCUUCGGCGUUUUGGGACGGAACCAAGAAACCGAGUCUGGGCAUCACCGUUCGGCUUUUGUGGGCAAGAAACUUCGAGAUCACUAAUAAUCGGACCGCCCAGUGGUUAGAUGUGAACUUUCGAGGCCUCCAACCCCAUUCUGACUCCGAUCGUUCCUUUCUAGGCCAUUGAGCCUUUUUUCGGCGUUUUGGGACGGAACGAAGAAACCGAGUCUAGGGCAUCACCGUUUGGCUUUUGUAGGCAAGCAACUUGAAGAUUACACAGAAUCAGACCGCUCAGUGGUUAAAUGUGAACUUUCGAGGCCUCCGACCCCAUUCUAAGUUCGGUCGUUCCUUUCUCGAUCAUUGUGCCUUACUUCGGCGUUUUGGGACUGAACCAAGAAACCGAGUUCGGGCAUCACCGUUCGGCUUUUGUGGGCAAGAAACUUUGAGAUCACUCAGAAUCGGACCGCCCAGUAGUUAGAUGUGAACUUUCGAGGCCUCCGACCUCGUUCUGAGUCCAAUCGUUCCUUUCUAGGCCAUUGUGCCUUUCUUCGGCGUUUUGGGACGGAACCAAGAAAUCGAGUCUAGCCAUCACCGUUCGGCUUUUGUGGGCAAAAAACUUCGAGAUCAUUCAGAAUCGGACCUUCAAGUGGUUAGAUGUGAACUUUGGAGGCCUCCGACCCCAUUCUGAGUCCGAUCGUUCCUUUCUAGGUUAUUGUGCCUUUCUUCGGCGUUUUGGGACCGAACCAAGAAACCGAGUUUGGGGCAUCACCGUUCACCUUUUGAGGGCAAGAAACUUCGAGAUCACUAAGAAUCGGACCGCCCAGUGGUUAGAUGUGAACUUUCAAGGCCUCAGAUCCCGUUCUUAGUCUGGUCGUUCCUUUCUAGGCCGUUGUGCCUUUCUUCGUCGUUUUGGGACGGAACCAAGAAACCGAGUCUGGGGCAUCACCGUUCGGCUUUUGUGGGCAAGAAACUUCAAGAUCACUCAAAAUCAAACCGCCCAGUGGUUAGAUGAUAACUUUUGGGGCCUCUGACCUCUUCUGAGUCCGGUCGUUCCUUUCUAGGCCAUUGUGCCUUUCUUUGGCGUUUUGGGACGAAACCAACAAACCGAGUAUGGGCCAUCACCGUUCGGCUAUUGUGGGUAAGAAAGUUCGAGAUCAUUCAGAAUCGGACCGCCCAGUGGUUAGAUGUGAACUUUCGAGGCGUCCGACCCCGUUCUGAGUCCGGUCGUUCCUUUCUAGGCCAUUGUGCCUUUCUUCGGCGUUUUGGGACGAAACCAAGAAACCGAGUAUGGGGCAUCACCGUUUGGGUUUUGUGGGCAAAAAACUUUGAGAUCACUCAGAAUCGGACCGCCCAGUGGUUAGAUGUGAACUUUCGAGGCCUCCGACCCCGUUCUUAGUCUCAUAGUUCCUUUCUAGGCCAUUGUGCCUUUCUUCGGUGUUUUGGUUCGGAACCAAGAAACCGCGUCUGGGGCAUGACCGUUCGGCUUUUGUGGGCAAGAAACUUCGAGAUCACUUCAAAUCGGACCGCCCAAUGGUUUGAUGUGAACUAUCGGGGCCUCCGACCCCGUUCUGAGCCCGGUCGUUCCUUUUUAGGCCAUUGUGCCUUUCUUCGGCGUUUCGGGACUUAACAAAGAAACCGAGUAUGGGGCAUCACCGUUCGGCUUUUGUGGGGAAGAAACUUUGAGAUCACUCAGAAUCGAACCGCCCAGUGGUUAGAUGUGAACUCUCGAGUCCUCCGACCCUGUUCUUAGUCCGGUCGUUCCUUUCUAGGGAAUUGUACCUUUCUUCGGCGUUUUGGGACGGAACCAAGAAACCGAGUAUGGGGCAUCACCGUUUGGGUUUUGUGGGUAAGAAACUUCGAGAUCACUCAGAAUCGGACCGCCUAGUGGUUAGAUGUGAACUUUGGAGGCCUCGACCCCGUUCUGAGUCUGGUAGUUCCUUUCUAGGCCAUUGUGCCUUUCUUCGGCGUUUUGGUACGGAACCAAGAAACCGCGUCUGGGGCAUCACCGUUCGGCUUUUGUGGGCAAGAAACUUCGAGAUCACUCCGAAUCAGACCGCCCAAUGGUUUGAUGUGAACUUUCGGGGCCUCCGACCCCGUUCUGAGCCCGGUCGUUCCUUUUUAGGCCAUUGUGCCUUUCUUCGGCGUUUUGGGACUGAACAAAGAAACCUAGUAUGGGGCAUCACCGUUCGGCUUUUGUGGGGAAGAAACUUCGAGAUCACUCCGAAUCAGACCGCCCAAUGGUUUGAUGUGAACUUUGGGGCCUCUGACCCCGUUCUGAGCCCGGUCGUUCCUUUUUAGGCCAUUGUGCCUUUCUUCGACGUUUUGGGACUGAACAAAGAAACCUAGUAUGGGGCAUCACCGUUCGGCUUUUGUGGGGAAGAAACUUCGAGAUCACUCAGAAUCGGCCCGCCCAGUGGUUAGAUGUGAACUCUCGAGUCCUCCGACCCCGUUCUUAGUCCGGUCGUUCCUUUCUAAGCAAUUGUGCCUUUCUUUGGCGUUUUGGGACAGAACCAAGAAACCGAGUAUGGGGCAUCACCGUUUGGGUUUUGUGGGCAAGAAACUUCGAGAUCACUCAGAAUCGGACCGUCCAGUGGUUAGAUGUGAACUUUGGAGGCCUCGACCCCGUUCUUAGUCUCGUAGUUCCUUUCUAGGCCAUUGUGCCUUUCUUCGGCGUUUUGGUUCGGAACCAAGAAACCGCGUCUGGGGCAUGACCGUUCGGCUUUUGUGGGCAAGAAACUUCGAGAUCACUUCGAAUCGGACCGCCCAAUGGUUUGAUGUGAACUAUCGGGGCCUUCGACCCCGUUCUGAGCCCGGUCGUUCCUUUUUUAGGCCAUUGUGCCUUUCUUCGGCGUUUCGGGACUUAACAAAGAAACCGAGUAUGGGGCAUCACCGUUCGGCUUUUAUGGGGAAGAAACUUUGAGAUCACUCAGAAUCAGACCGCCCAGUGGUUAGAUGUGAACUCUCGAGUCCUCCGACCCCGUUCUUAGUCCGGUCGUUCCUUUCUAGGUAAUUGUACCUUUCUUCGGCGUUUUGGGACGGAACCAAGAAACCGAGUAUGGGGCAUCACCGUUUGGGUUUUGUGGGUAAGAAACUUCGAGAUCACUCAGAAUCGGACCGCCUGGUGGUUAGAUGUGAACUUUGGAGGCCUCGACCCCGUUCUGAGUCUGGUAGUUCCUUUCUAGGCCAUUGUGCCUUUCUUCGGCGUUUUGGUACGGAACCAAGAAACCGCGUCUGGGACAUCACCGUUCGGCUUUUGUGGGCAAGAAACUUCGAGAUCACUCCGAAUAAGACCGCCCAAUGGUUUGAUGUGAACUUUCGGGGCCUCCGACCCCGUUCUGAGCCCGGUCGUUCCUUUUUAGGCCAUUGUGCCUUUCUUCGGCGUUUUGGGACUGAACAAAGAAACCUAGUAUGGGGCAUCACCGUUCGGCUUUUGUGGGGAAGAAACUUCGAGAUCACUCAGAAUCGGCCCGCCCAGUGGUUAGAUGUGAACUCUCGAGUCCUCCGACCCCGUUCUUAGUCCGGUCGUUCCUUUCUAAGCAAUUGUGCCUUUCUUUGGCGUUUUGGGACGGAACCAAGAAACCGAGUAUGGGGCAUCACUGUUUGGGUUUUGUGGGCAAGAAAUUUCGAGAUCACUCAGAAUCGGACCGUCGAGUGGUUAGAUGUGAACUUUGGAGGCCUCGACCCCGUUCUAAGUCUCGUAGUUCCUUUCUAGGCCAUUUUGCCUUUCUUCGGCGUUUUGGUUCGGAACCAAGAAACCGCGUCUGGGGCAUCACCGUUCGGCUUUUGUGGGCAAGAAACUUCGAGAUCACUCCGAAUCAGACCGCCUAAUGGUUUGAUGUGAACUUUUGGGGCCUCCGACCCCGUUCUGAGCCCGGUCGUUCCUUUUUAGGCCAUUGUGCCUUUCUUCGGUGUUUGGGACUGAACAAAGAAACCUAGUACGGGGCAUCACCGUUCGGCUUUUGUGGGGAAGAAACUUCAAGAUCACUCAGAAUCGGACCGUCCAGUGGUUAGAUGUGAACUUUCGAGGCCUCCGACCCCGUUCUGAGUCCGGUCGUUCCUUUCUAGGCCAUUGUGCCUUUCUUUUGCUUUUUGGGAGGAAACCAAGAAACCGAGUAUGGGGCAUCACCGUUCGGCUUUUGUGGGCAAGAAACAUCGAUAUCACUCAGAAUUGGACUGCCCAGUGGUUAGAUGUGAACGCUCGGGGCCCUCCGACCCCGUUCUGAGUCCGAUCGUUCCUUUCAAGGCCAUUGUGCCUUUCUUUCGGGUUUUAGGAUGAAACCAAGAAAACGAGUAUCGGGCAUCACCGUUCGGAUUUUGAGGGCAAGAAACUUCGAGAUCACUCAGAAUUGGACCGCCUAGUGGUUAGAUGUGAACUUUCAGGGCCUCCGACCCCGUUCUGAGCCCGGUCGUUCCUUUUUAGGCAAAUUGUGCCUUUCUUCGGCGUUUUGGGACGGAACCAAGAAACCGAGUAUGGGGCAUCACCGUUCGGCUUUUGUGGGCAAGAAACUUCGAGAUCACUCAGAAUCGGACCGCCUAGUGGUUAGAUGUGAACUCUUGGGGCCUCCGACCCCGUUCUGAGUCUGGUCGUUGCUUUCUAGGCCAUUGUGCCUUUCUUCGGCGUUUUCGGAUGGAACCAAGAAACCGAGUAUGGGACAUCACCGUUCGUAUUUUGUGGACAAGAAACUUCGAGAUCACUCAGAAUCGGACCGCCAGUAGUUAGAUGUGAACUUUUGACGCCUUUGACCCCGUUCUGAGUCAGAUAGUUCCUUUCUAGGCCAUUGUGCCUUUCUUCGGCGUUUUGGGAUGCAACCAAGAAACCGAGUAUGGGGCAUCAACGUUUAGCUUUUGUGGGCAAGAAACUUUGGGAUCACUCAGAAUUGGAGCGCCCAGUGGUUAGAUGUGAACUUCGAGGCCUCCGACCACGUUCUGAGUCUGGUAGUUCCUUUCUAGGCCAUCGUGACUUUCUUCGACGUUUUGGGACAGAACCAAGAAACCGAGUGUGGGGCAUCACCGUUCGUCUUUUAUGGGCAAGAAACUUCGAGAUCACUCAGACUUGGACCGCCCAGUGGUUAGAUGUGAACUUUCGAGGCCUCCGACCCCGUUCUGAGUCCGGUCGUUCCUUUCUAGGCCAUUGUGCCUUUCUUUAGGUUUUGGGACGAAACCAAGAAACCGAGUAUGGCGCAUCACCGUUCGGCUUUUGUGGGCAAGAAACUUUGAUAUCACUCAGAAUUGGACCGCCCAGUGGUUAGAUGUGAACGCUCGAGGCCUCCGACCCCGUUCUGAGUCCGGUCGUUCCUUUCAAGGCCAUUGUGCCUUUCUUUCGCGUUUUAGGAUGAAACCAAGAAAACGAGUAUGGGGCAUCACCGUUUGGCUUUUGAGGGCAAGAAACUUCGAGAUCACUCAUAAUUGGACCGCCUAGUGGUUAGAUGUGAACUUUCAGGGCCUCCGACCCCGUUCUGAGCCCGAUCGUUCCUUUUUAGGCCAUUGUGCCUUUCUUUGGCGUUUUGGGACGGAACCAAGAAUUUGAGUCUGGGGCAUCACCGUUCGGCUUUCGUGGGCAAGAUACUUCGAGAUCACUCAGAAUUGGACCACCCAGUAGCUAGAUGUGAACUUUCGAGGCCUCCGACCCCAUUCUAAGUCCGGCCGUUCCUUUCAGGCCAUUGUGCCUUUCUUCAGCGUUUUGGGACGGAACCGAGAAACCGAGUCUGGGUAAUCAUCGUUCGGCUCUCUUGGGCAAGAAACUUUGAGAACACUCAGAAUCGGACCACUCAAGAGCUAGAUGUGAACUUUCGAGGCCUCUGACCCCGUUCUAAGUCUGGUCGUUUCUUUCUAAGCAAUUGUGCCUUUCUUUGGCGUUUUGGGACGGAACCGAGAAACCGAGUAUAGGGCAUCACCGUUCGGCUUUCGUAGGAAAGAAACUUCGAGAUCACCCAGAAUCGGACCACCCAGUAGCUAGAUGUGAACUUUUGAGGCCGCCGACCCCGUUCUAAGUCCGGUCGUUCCUUUCUAGGCCACUGUGCCUUUCUUUCGGCGUUUUGGGACGCAACCAAGAAACCGAGUCUAGGGCAUCACCGUUCGACUUUUGUGGGCAAGAAACUUUGAGACCACUCAGAAUCGGACCACCCAGUAGCCAGACGUGAACUUUCGAGGCCUCCGACCCCGUUCCAAGUCUGGUCGUUCCUUUCUAGGCCUGUGUGCCUUUCUUUCGGCGUUUUGGGACGGAACCAAGAAACCUAGUCUAGGGCAUCACCGUUCGGCUUUUGUGGGUAAGAAACUUUGAGACCACUCAGAAUCGGUCAACCCAGUAGCCAGACGUGAACUUUCGAGGCCUCCGACCUCGUUAGAAGUCCAGUCGUUCCUUUCUUGGCCAUUGUGCCUUUCCUUCGGCGUUUUGCGACGGAACAGAGAAACCGAGUCUGGGGCAUCACCGUUCGGCUUUUGUGGGCAAGAAGCUUCGAGACCACUCAGAAUCGGACCACCCAGUAGCCAGACGUGAACUUUCGAGGCCUCUGACCCCGUUCCAAGUCCGGUCGUUCCUUUCUAGGCCAUUGUGCCUUUCCUUCGGCGUUUUGGGACGGAACGAAGAAACCGAGUCUGGGGCAUCAUCGUUCAGCUUUUGUGGGCAAGAAACUUCGAGACCACUCAGAAUCGGACCACCCAGUAGCUAGACGUGAACUUUCGUGGCCUUCGACCCCACUCUAAGUCCGGUCGUUCCUUUCUAGGCCAUUGUGCCUUUCUUUUGGCGUUUUGGGACGGAACCUGAAAGAACUAAGUCAUGCACAGCGGAAAAAGAAUCGAAUUUCUACCCUAAUUGCCACAAUUAACAUGUAAUCAUAAAGUUUUCAAAAGGUUUAAUAUCUUCUUACCAAUUCUAACCGAGACCACCACUAUUACUCAACUGGUAUCCUCUUGACAAAGAAUCGGGUUGUGGGACCCAAUUUUGGUGUAGAAAGAAAUCGAGAUAAAAUGGGAUUUGAAGGUUUUUUUUCUUUUGUUGAGAUGAUGAAAAUGAUAAAAGAGGCAAAAGUCUUUUCAACAUUUGAAAACACCUCUAUUUAUAACCUAAUUACAUGCAAAAAUGAAUGCAAUUCAUUUGAAAAAUCUCAACACCUAAUGUUCCACUAACAAUUAGUGGAACUUAGUGGGCUAGGUGUCUAUAUCUCAUAUAGCCACAUAUCCCACUAAGAGUUAGUGGGAUUAUCCAACAAAAUGUUGGAUUUUCCCACUAACUUAGUCCAAGGGUAAAAUGGUCAUUAGAUAUUUCUAGUCAAAAGUCAAACUUUGACUUUUCUUAGUCAAAAGUCAAUAUUUUGACUUUUUACCAUUUUGUCCGUCUAGACUAAUUCCAACCUCCCGAGCAUGAAUCCGCAUUCAUUUUUUCCAAAAUUCAAAUCACAUUUGAAUAUAAGGCCGGUCAAAGUUUGACUUUUCAAAGUCAAAAGUCAACAUUUUGACUUUUUACUAUUUUUGACCAAUUCCAUCAAUUCCGAGCUUCUUAGUAUUAAUCCGCAUUCAUACUUAUAGUAUGUAAAACAUAAAGCUCUAUUUCUAAUUAGAAGACCGGCGACUAUAUCACUAUAUUUGUCGGUUUCCCUUUCUUCUCCCAAUUCUUACAAUUCGACUUAUUUCACCACACUGUUCUAAGUUUAAUCCAUAUGAGCUAGCAGAGGAACCUAAUGGACCUAUAGAUCAUGGGCUCCAACGAUUCAAGAUUAACUAGCUAAACUCUUUUAAACCGAGUUAAUCAACAUUCGUUAACUAACGGGUCAUUCCACUAAAGUCCCGUAGUUGCACUCCCCUCACUAUAGAUAUAUUUGUGUCCAUUUGAUAAAACCAUAAUCAGUAAGUUAAUCCUUCACAGGUUGCUCGUAACCUUGGCUGGGUCAAAAUACCGUUUUACCCCCAAGAUUACAUCUUGCUCCUUAAGUCCCACUAAUCCACUAUUGAACAAUUGGUUUAAGGUUCAACCUAUAAGGGUCCUUUGGCUCUUAGACCUUUUCCAGUAAAAGAUCUCUUUGUCAUUUUUCCUUCAAGACAAGUUUCUCAAGGAGGUAAAGUAUUAUUUUCUAACUGACUUAAAAGCCCACUUUUAACUAAUCUCCUAAUCCUAUUGAGAUUUAUGUGACCAAGUCUUAAGUGCCAUAAAUAGGCAUUAGAAGAAACUUUUUGUCUUUUAUUAUGAGUUUCAGCUGUUCUGAAUAUUUCAGUAUUUAAGACAAAAUUUGCUUUGGUUGGUCUUAACUUAUAUAAGUUGUCUUCAAGUAUAGCAUAACAAACUAGAAUACCUUUAUAGAAAACGAACGCUUCAUUAAUUUCAAAAGAUAUUCUAUGCAUUUGUUCCAAAAUACAAGAGAUAGAUAUUAAAUUUCUUUUCAUUUGAGGUACAUAUAAGACAUUCUUAAGUAUGACAUAUCUAUCUCUAAAAAACAACUUUAAAUCUCCCACUGUUGAAGGUGAGACCAUCUCUCCUGUUCCAACCUUGAGAGUGAUCUCGCCUUCUGAAAGCUUUUUCCAAGAACUAUUUUCCUGAAAUGAGAAGCAAAUAUGGUUAGUGGCUCCUGAAUCUAGUAUCCAGGUACAAUUUUCAUAUUCCACUAAACAUGUUUCUACAACUAGUAAAUCAUAUUUACCUUUGGUUUCCUUCUCUGCCUUUUUUUUUGCAAGGUAUUUUGGGCAGUUUCUUAACUAGUGCCCGUUUUGGCCACAAUGGUAACACUUACCUUUUUCUGCACCUUUCUUACCCUUGUUCUGUUUGGGAGUCUUUCCCUUUCCCUUCUUUUUUAUUUGAGCAUUAGUUUUGAGGGUCCAGCUUUGUUUUAGAGGACGAUCCUCUUAUAAAUUUUCUUUUUGUGGUAGCAACAUUUGCUUCCACUUGUUUUCCUUUACCCAUAGUAAGGUUUUGGAAUCACUGGAGUUCAUUCAGAAGGGUUGUCAAGUUAAAUUCUAUCUUGUUCAAAGACGCAUUCGUUUGGAAUGGAAUGCAGCUCUUCGAAAGAGACUCUAAGAUAAAACUAACUUGAUUAACCUCUUCGAUGGGACCACCAUUCACUUCAGCGAUGUUUAAGUGCAUCAUCAUGUCCAGAACAUGUUCUCUAACAGAGGUCCACUCAGAAUCGGACCACCCAGCACCUAGACGUGAACUUUCGAGGCCGCCGACCCCGUUCUAAGUCCGGUCGUUCCUAUCUAGGCCAUUGUGCCUUUCUUUCGGCGUUUUGGGACGGAACCAAGAAAACGAGUCUGGGCAUCACCGUUCGGCUUUUAAGGGCAAAAAACUUCGAGACCACUCAGAAUCAGACCACCCAUUAGCGAGACAUGAACUUUCGAGGCCGCCGACCCCAUUCUAAGUCCGGUCGUUCCUUUCUAGGCCACUGUACCUUUCUUUCGGCGUUUUGGGACGGAACCAAGAAACCGAGUCUGGGGCAUCACCGUUCAGCUUUUGUGGGCAAGAAACAUCAAGACCACUCAGAAUCGGACCACCCAGUAGCUAGAUGUGAACUUUCGAGGCCGCCGACCACGUUCUAAGACCGAUCGUUCCUUUCUAGGCCACUGUGCCUAUCUUUCGGUGUUUUGGGACGGAACCAAGAAACCGAGUCUGGGGCAUCACCGUUCGGCUUUUGUGGGCAAGAAACUUCGAGACCACUCAGAAUCGGACCACCCAGUAGCGAGACGUGAACUUUCGAGGCCGCCGACCCCGUUCUAAGUCUGGUCAUUCCUUUCUAGGCCACUAUGCCUUUCUUUCGGCGUUUUGGGACGGAACCAAGAAACCGAGUCUGGGGCAUCGCCGUUCAGCUUUUGUGGGCAAGAAACAUCGAGACCACUCAGAAUCGGACCACCCAGUAGCUAGACGUGAACUUUCAAGGCCGUCGACCCCGUUCUAAGUCCGGUCGUUCCUUUCUAGGCCACUGUGCCUUUCUUUCAGCGUUUUGGGACGGAACCAAGAAACCGAGUCUGGGGCAUCACCGUUCGGCUUUUGUGCUCAAGAAACUUCGAGACCACUCAGAAUCGGACCACCCAGUAGCUAGACGUGAACUUUCGAGGCCGUCGACCCCGUUCUAAGUCUGGUCGUUCCUUUCUAGGCCACUCUGCCUGUCUUUCGGCGUUUUGGGACGGAACCAAGUAACCGAGUCUGGGGCAUCACGGUUCGGCUUUUGUGGGCAAAGAAACUUCGAGACCACUCAGAAUCAAACCACCCAAUAGCUAGACGUGAACUUUCGAGGCUGCCGACCCCAUUCUAAGUCCUGUCGUUCCUUUCUAGGCCACUAUGCCUUUCGUUCGGCGUUUUGGGACGGAACCAAGAAAUCGAGUCUGGGGCAUCACCCUUCGGUUUUUGUGGGCAAGAAACUUCGAGACCACUCAGAAUCGGACCACCCAGUAGCUAGACGUGAACUUUCGAGGCCGCCGACCCCGUUCUAAGUCCGGUUGUUCCUUUCUAGGCCACUCUGCCUUUCUUUCAGCGUUUUGGGACGGAACCAAGAAACCGAGUCUAGCUCAUCACCGUUCGGCUUUUGUGGGCAAGAAACAUCGAGACCACUCAGAAUCGAACCACCCAGUACCUAGACGUGAACUUUCGAGGCCGCCGACUCCGUUCUAAGUUCGGUCGUUCCUUUCUAGGCCAAUGUGCCUUUCUUUCGGCAUUUUAGGACGGAACCAAGAAACCGAGUCUGGGCAUCACCGUUCGGCUUUUGUGGGCAAAAAACUUCGAGACCACUCAGAAUCGGACCACCCAGUAGCUAGACGUGAACUUUCGAGGCCCCCGACCCGGUUCUAAGUCCCGUCGUUCCUUUCUAGGCCACUGUGCCUUUCUUUCGGCGUUUUGGGACGGAUCCAAGAAACCGAGUUUGGGGCAUUACCGUUCGACUUUUGUGGGCAAGAAACUUCGAGACCACUCAGAAUUGGACCACCCAGUAGCUAGACGUGAACUUUCGAGGCCGCCGACCCCGUUCUAAGUCUGGUCGUUCCUUUCUAGGCCACUGUGCCUUUCUUUCGGCGUUUUGGGACGCAACCAAGAAACCGAGUCUGGGGCAUCAUCGUUCGGCUUUUGUGGGCAAGAAACUUUGAGACCACUCAAAGUCGGACCACCCAGUUGCGAGUCUUGAACUUUCGAGGCCACCGACCCCGUUCUAAGUCCGGUCGUUCCUUUCUAGGCCAUUGUGCCUUUCUUUCGGCGUUUUGGGACGCAACCAAGAAACCGAGUUUUGGGGCAUCACCGUUUGGCUUUUGUGGGCAAGAAACGUUGAGACCACUCAGAAUCGGAACACCCAGCAGCAAGACGUGAACUUUCGAGGCCGCCGACCCCGUUCUAAGUCCGGUCGUUCCUUUCUUGGCCACUGUGCCUUUCUUUCGGCGUUUUGGGACGCAACCAAGAAACCGAGUCUGGGCAUCACCGUUCGGCUUUUGUGGGCAAAAAAGUUCGAGACCACUCAGAAUCGGACCACCCAGUAGCUAGACGUGAACUUUCGAGGCCGCCGACCCCGUUCUAAGUCCGGUCGUUCCUUUCUUGGCCACUGUGCCUUUCUUUCGGCGUUUUGGAACGCAACCAAGAAACCGAGUCUGGGCAUCACCGUUCGGUUUUUGUGGGCAAGAAACUUCGAGACCGGUCAGAAUCGGACCAUCCAGUAGCAAGACGUGAACUUUCGAGGCCUCCGACCCCGUUCUAAGUCCGGUCGUUCUUUUCUAGGCCAUUGUGCCUUUCUUUCGACGUUUUGGGAGGGAACCAAGAAACCGAGUCUGGGCAUCACCGUUCGGCUUUUGUGGGCAAGAAACUUCGAGACCGUUCAGAAUCGGACCACCCAGUAGCCAGACGUGAACUUUCGAGGCCUCCGACCCCGUUCUAAGUACGGUCGUUCCUUUCUAGGCCAUUGUGCCUUUUUUUGGCGUUUUGAGACGAAACCAAGAAACCGAGUCUGGGCAUCACCGUUCGGCUUUUGUGGGCAAGAAACUUCGAGACCGCUCAGAAUCGGACCACUCAGUAGCCAGACGUGAACUUUCGAGGCCUCCAACCCCGUUCUAAGUCCGGUCGUUCCUUUCUAGUCCAUUGUGCCUUUCUUUCGGCGUUUUGCGACGGAACCAAGAAACCGAGUCUGGGGCAUCACCGUUCGGCUUUAAUGGGCAAGAAACUUCGAGACCGCUCAGAAUCGGACCACCCAGUAGCCAGACGUGAACUUUCGAGGCCUCUGACCCCGUUCUAAGUCCGGUCGUUCCUUUCUAGGCCAUUGUGCCUUUCUUUCGGCGUUUUGGGACAGAACCAAGAAAACGAGUCUAGAGCAUCACCGUUCGGCUUUUGUGGGCAAGAAACUUCGAGACCGCUCAGAAUCGAACCACCCAGUAGCCAGACGUGAACUUUUGAGGCCUCCGACCCCGUUCUCAGUCCGGCCGUUCCUUUCUAGGCCACUGUGCCUUUCUUUCGACGUUUUGGGAUGGAACCAAGAAACCGAGUCUAACGCAUCACCGUUCGGCUUUUGUGGGAAAGAAACUUCGAGACCACUCAGAAUCGGACCACCCAGUUCAAUUAUAUAACACCAACACUCUUCUCACUUGUGGGCUUGAAAUAUUUGAAAGGCCCAACAACUGGAAACGGAUUUUAAUUGGGGAGGAAACGACAAUGCGAGGCUUGAACACAAGACCUUCUUGGACCACCUGCUCAGAUACCAUAUUGAAAGGGAGACAAAUAAACACAUAACUUUAUGUGGAAACCUGUGUACAAGGGAGAAUAAAUAGAAUAUAUAGAGGAAUAAGAAAGGAAAAUAUUUAGGAAUUAAGAAAAAUAUUCCCAUAAACUUUUCAUAAAUAUUCUAAGAUUCUAACAAUAAAAAGUUCUAUUUAUUCCAAAUUGUGACUGCUCUAAUGUGCAGUUGUUUUCUGAUUCAGAUGAUUGAGGAGCUUGGUGGUUCUCUCACUGCUGAUGGGAGUACAAGCACUCAUGUCAUUACAGGAAAUUUGCGAAAAACUCUAAAUUUUUGUAUUGCUCUCUUUUCAGGGUUAGUCUUGCAACCUUAGAUGAACACUCUUCUAUGUAUCCUUUUGGCCUUUGAAUACCGAUAAUCAUCUCAUUUGCACAAAAGUUAGCGAUUCCAUGCACACAAGGCCUUUGUCGUUAUUCUUCCAUUGCCUCGUAGUUGUGCUUAGGCUGGAAAUUGUUGUGAACCUUCUAGAUCUAAAAGGGCAUAGUUUCUUAUUCUACUACCUGUUUACUUUUAAUUAAACAUCAAAAUCAAUUCUUAUGUUUGAUUUGGAUUGUAUCAUGCUCUUCCUUCUCAGUUGUUUAUAUCGUGAUGGUGGGUAGUGGUUGUUAAGACAACCAUUAGGCUAAUUUGGGUUUCAGGCUUACUUUUCCCAUUUUACGUAUAAAAUGGCUCAAGCUCACUAAUGAAAGAUAUUUGUUGGCUAGCUAGGGUAAUUAGAUAUUUAGGAAGUUACUAGUAGUUCUUGUGUAAGUGUGGUUACUAGUAGUUAUUAUGUAAGUGUGGUAACUAGGGUGGUUACAUGUUAUUAUAAAUGGAGGGAGGGUAAGUUGGGAGAAUUUUGGGGAGUGAUAUAACGCUUGGUGAGAGUACUCAAGAGGAGGGUUCCAAGUGCUUUAUACUUGGUUUUAUUUUGAUUUCUUAUAGUUACAUUAUAAUAAAUUCAGAUCUCUGUCUUGUUAGGAAGUAUAUGUCUCCAAUAUUAUUUAAAUACGUAUAGAAGAAUUAAAAAGGGUAAUAUUGACCCACACGAGAAUAUAGAGAGAUUAUAGGAGGAGAUCUUUCCCAUUAGUUUGUUAGUAAAGCAAAAUAAAAGGAGGAAAGAGGAGGAGAAAGGGACAAAAUUCCAAAGAAGUAGAGGUUGCCGUCUUUCGUGCUCGGGAGAAGUAGAGGGUCCAAGUCAAGUUCUUUUUAUUGUUUGUUUUGGUCAUUUCAUGGUUUGUGGUUUUGUUCUAGUUUUUCUUGUUCUUUGUGGAUCCUCACUGAAGUGUGCCUUUAGGAAGUAGAUGUGAGUGAUUUUUUAUUCUCUAUACUGUAAUUCGUUGAGGUAAUUCAAUAAAGUAAGAUACACUUGCCGUAUAUUUACAGUAUCUUAACAAAUUGGUAUCAGAGCGUUUUAACAUGGGAGAACUAUGAGCAGCACAAAAAACGGAUCGAAGAGAAGUUGGAGACCUCUAAUAAGGAAAUCUCGGAUACAAGUAGUUACACAAGUUGCUGCAAGUGAAUAAAACUUGUUAUCCUUGCCAGAAAGCAUCGAAAGACUGGUCAUCUAGUUGGAAAAACAAGAACGGUUGCUAAAUGCAUCGAAGAAUAGCAGAAGAUAAUUCGAAAAUCUCCGAAGAAUGGAAGGAUCGUCGAGCAAAGGACCAACGAUUGAGAGUAGAAGGGAGGUAAGACAUUGAAGGAAAUCAAGGUAGAAGGUAAAACAAAUAACUUUAAAAGGGAUGAAAACUCGAACGAUCAUAGCAUUCAAGAAGGUUGAAAUCCUGUGUUCAGUGGCACUGAUAUGGAUUGUUUUAUUUAGAACGGAUUGGAAUCUUCAGGUCCAUAAAUCGAUGGAUUCCAAGAAGUUGCUAAAUCCAUAGAAGAAUCGAGGAAAACGCGAUUGCAACGGUUAUACAACGAAGGUGAAGAGAUGGCAAAGAGUGACCAAGAAGAAACUAUAGAGGAAGGUCGACGAGAUUACCUGUGAGGCUCGAAAUGAAGACGCGAGUGGAGAAAAAUUUGUUGGCUCAAAGAAACACAAAAUGGCUGGUUGCAAUGGAGAAAGAAGAAGCCGACAGUUACCGGUCUACAGAGGCUCGAGAAGGUGGUCUGGAAUAGGUGAAUCACGUGACGAGAAGAAGUUGCACACAUGAUGUGACAAUGACGUGGUAGAAAUUGGUAGGAAAGAGGAUUAGGUGGAGAAAAAUUUGUUGCUCAAAGAAACACAAAAUGGCUGGUUGCAAUGGAGAAAGAAGAAGCCGACAGUUACCGGUCUACAGAGGCUCGAGAAGGUGGUCUGGAAUAGGGUGAAUCACGUGACAAGGAAGAAGUUGCUGCACACAUGAUGGUGACAAUGACGUGGUAGAAAUUGGUAGGAAAAGAGGAUUAGGACAAAAGUAACAAUCUUGGUUUUACUAUUUCAAGUGGCUUCAACUUACUCUAAAUGAGCUUCAACUUAUUCUAAAUAAAACAUUGGGGCACAUCAUUUUGUAGAUGAAGUGGGUGGAGAGUUCCAAAAAUAGAGGGAAGAAAAACGUGUAUGUAGGUGGGUCCUAGGAAUGAAACCGCGCAAUAUGAUUUGGUCUUGACGCAACACUUUGAUUAUGGCCGAGCCCACUAGAGAUGAAGAGUUUGAAAAUUAAACACUUGUUGGUGAUAUGCAAAGGUUAACUAAGACAAUGUGUUUUGGAAAAGGAAAAUUCAAGUACAUUGGGCUGCUUUGUGGGCUGAAGUCAAUGGACCUUAUUGGAAUCAAGAGUUUUUCAAAGCCGAAGGGAGGAUUUCUUUUUCAACAUUGAAGAGCAGAAUGCUGGGGAUUGUUUGCAAUUAAAAGAGAAAAAAAGAAAGGAGGCCUUGAUCAUGUUUGUAAGCACACCUUGAGGACAAGGUGUUUUGAAGGAUCGGGUAAUGUUAGAUACUUAGAUUAUUAUAAGGUUAGGGGUAUAAGGGUAAUUAGAUAUUUAGAAAGUUACUAGUAGUUAUUAUGUAAGUGUGGUUACAUCUUAUUAUAAAUGGAGGGAGGGUAAGUGAGGGGAAAUUCUGGGGAGUGAUCUAGGGCUUGGGUGAGAGUACUCAAGAGGGAGGUUCCAAGUGCCUUAUACUUGGUUUUAUCUUGUAUUUUCUUAUAGUUCAUUAUAAUAAAUUAAGAUCUUGUUCUUGUUUGGAAGUAUCCUAACAGAAUUCCUCUAGAAGGUCUCAUGUUAGCGAAUGAUAAUCUGCGUUAAGUGUGUAUUUGUAGGAGUUCUUCUCCCGGGCAUCUAUGGUUGAUAUUCUUUACCUUUCAAUAUAUCAAAGCCAAGGAUUCUUUUGCAUUUCUCUAUGCUUUUUCUUUACCCUUUAUGCUUUUUUCAGUUAUAUUUGAGAGUAGUAUUUCAUUUCUUUCAUGUGAAAUGUUGAACUUCAGUAGUGUGGAGAGUGGAACGUAAUAUCUUACCUUUUAUAUUAGUAAACUUGAUUUUAAGCAAUGUGUUUUUGAAGAUUUUAUGUUGUAGAAUGUUUUUUGUUCUUCAAGCUACUGUUCUUAACUUUAUUUUCUCCUGUUAAUGUUCUCAAUGAUUAUCGAGCAUAUGCAUUACCAUGUGGCUUCAAGUGUGUCAGUGUGCUCUUGCUCAUAAUUUUUACUAUAUCUUGUUACUAAAAUUGCAAGUUAAUUGCAAAUUACUCAGAGCUUGGAUUUUCUCCUCCAGUUUAAAGGAAACCUAACGGGAAGGCAGAUUUGGUAAGUUCGAAUGGCUUGCUAGUAUCAAAGCGUAAUGUAUUUUCUUCCACUUAUGUUUUUCAUCCUACCUAAUUUUUGUGAUUGAUUAAUUCCUUAUUGAUCUGCAGACGAGUUGCCUUACAUACUAAAUGAUGAUGACUAUAUCGAAGUAUCGAGCCAGCCUAAAAGCUGCAGUUCUCAGGGCAAAAGCAUGUUCUUGAGCUUUAUUUGAAGGGUAUGAUGUUUGCAUAUCAGCUCACGCUCAACCACCACCUAAAACUCUAUCCCUGAUAGUCAAGUCAACCGGUGGAAAUGUAAGUUCUCUGUUAUUGUACAAAUCUCGAGUACUAGGUUUGGUUCUCUAUAUUACAUAUACAACCACUAUAAUAUGGCUAUCCUCCCAUCUAAUGAAGACGUGAAGUUCUCAACAAACAAGCACGUAUACGAAUUCUAGACAUGGGUCAAUAAAUCAUAGACAUGGUGACGUGUCAUUUUUUUCUAAAAAAUAUAGGAUAGUGCUAGAACACAGUUUUAAUAUAUAUAAUUUAAAAAGUAUGUAUCAUAUUUAUAUAGAAAUUCAAAGUCAAUAAGUUUAUGUAUUUAUAUGCUUAAAAAUAAGCUUGUCCUUCACUCAAAACUUAUUCAAAGCCAAGAGUUUAAUAUGUGUGUUGACCAAUCUUGACCUUUAUUGCAUUGGAAUACUUGUUGUCUAACACAUCUACUGUACUAACUAGUGUUCAACACGUGUUCUCCGAGUGUUCCAUACAUAUUGUUUAUUGAUACACUAGCCAAACUAGAGUGUAUGUGCUUCUUAAGUCUUUAAUAUUUAUGUUUGUUUUGAUCCUAGGAAUUGAGCAUGUAAUGUAAAAAGUCUAUGCACAAGGGUCAUAUGGCCAUCUCCGUGUUUCUUUAAUUAUCAAAUUUGUUCAAGUUUUUAAUUGUCUCUAGAUCGAAAUUUGGAGUUAUUUUUUGUGAUUUGGUUUACAAAUACAUACAUUCAUGUUUCUAAUUAUGAUUAGAUUGUUUUCUGCUUGCAACAUUUUAUUGUUUAGCUUGUCUUUGAUCUUGAACUUACUAUUAUGUUGAUUUAAAUUCCAUUUUAGCCUUAGAACUUUCAAAACAUCCAUUUUAAUCAUCGAGCUUCCAAAACGUAGCCAACUAACGAUUUUAGUAUUUUGUAAAUUAUUUUAUCAACUAAUAUUCAUUUAUCCAAUACUCAUCGGUCAUUUCUGCUAUAUGUGAUUGGAAUAUAUCUCAUAGGAAUCAUUUUGAAAGUUGGGAAAAGAUGGAAAAUUUUAGGGACUAGAACAAGAAUUUGUUUAAUAUUUUUUGAUAGGGUGAAUUCUUGCAAUUUCCUUGUAGUAUAUACAUAAUUUUUUCUCUCAUUUGGCAAAUUCAUUAUGCUUGAAAAUUUAGGUGAUUCAUGAGCUAGAUAAAGUAAACAACGUAUGGAAGACGAUCUUUGUGGCUUGUGAGGAAGACGUGGAGGAAGCCUUGGUGGCCGUACAAAAAGGGAUAUGGACUUUCAACGUUGAAUGGCUAAUGGCAUGUAUAAUGAGACCAGAAGUUGACCUGGAGGCCCCUCAAUUUGCUGAGUCCCUAUGAGAAACAAGGUCACCCUAACUUUCAGUUUUGAACAAGCAGCAGCCAGCCAUUUCGUCCUUGUGUAAAUCCACUCUUUUCUCAACUCACUCUAAUUUGGUACAUAAACAAACUCUGAUCGCUCCAUCUCUAUAUUCAUCAGUACAUAAAAGACGAUAAGUUUAUUCAUGGAGAAAGUUGGAUGUAAGUAUGUUUUAGGAAUGGUCCUUCAUUUAGUAACUUUGGGAAUUGUAAAAAUGAGGUAAUGAAGUUCUAUCAAGUUGAAUGUUCUUGUUUAUGUUGGAUGAGACUGAUUCUUGGAUACCAGAAUUAACUUGAAGUACGUGUUUGAGUUCCAUUGGAGUGAUUAGAGAAAAAAUGUUCCUUUAAAAAGGGUAAUUUUUUUAUGUAGACUUUCUUUUUAUUAAAAUUGCUUAAAAUACAAUUUGAGAGUAUUUCAAUAGCUUUCAAAGAGUUGUCAAACACUUGUAGUUUUUCUAAAAUAACAUAUUUUCAAAAUUAAUUACUGUAAUAGUUAAACAAAAGAUUCUUUCCCUUAGAACUUUUAAAGUUUGUCUAGUUACCUCUUAAACCUUUCAAUUGUUUAAUAGGUCUUUCAAUUUUAUGUUUUAAGUGUCUAUAAAUUUUGAUUUUUUUUUAUUUGUUAGAUAUAAAUCUGAAGAAAUGAAUAAAGUAGAUUUGUAAGUUUAAAAUAGUUUAAAAGUUGAGAAAUUAAAUUUGUAGUUUAAAAAGUUGGAGUAAAUAGUUUGUGUUAAGUCGGGUUGUGAUAUUUUAUUUAUUUAUUUUAAUAAUAGAAGAGAGGGAGACGAAAACUGCAAACUGAAGGGAGAAGAAGCGGUGGCUGACUUUGUAUAUUUCUCCUUUCUUUUCAAUUUGAGAAAAUUUCUUUGCAAUUCACUUUGAAAAGGAAAUGAAUAUUUCUCCCUCAGACUUAUCUCUCUCUUCUUUUCAAUUUAUUUUCAAUUUUUUUGUGUGCUUCUCACAGUGUAUGCAUAAUCUCUCUUUUCUUCCUUCUCUUUUCCUUCUCCAAUCAACUUCACCACCGUCUUCCACCUACACCGAACGUCAAGCAAAUUUUUUCCUAUCGUCGCAUAACCGUUAGCCCGAGUCACUCCAGUUCUGUCACGCCAUGUAUGUUUAGAUCUGAAUUGUUCGGUUAUUUGUUGCACCGAUCCGUCUCCGUUAGAAUUUGAUUCUCCACAAUUUGGGUAAGUUAUGGAAUUUACAUAUAGAGUGAAUUGAAUGGAUUAAAUUGUUUGUGGAAGUGAUUGAUUUCUCUUCAAUUAUGUUUAGGUCGGUUCGUUGCACUUUAGUUUGAAAAAGAAGCUUAAGUAAGGUUAUAAGGUAAGGGAUUCUCUACUACUGGACUCACCUAUAGUUUUGAAUUGUGCUGUCUGUAUAGUUACCUCUGAUUGAGUAAAGAUGUCAAAACGAUAUAUAUACAUAUGGAUGUAGACUUGGUGUUGAAUGUAUACUGUGAAUGACUGAAAAAAAAAAUAUAUACAUGGAUUGAUGUAGACUUGAUGUUGAAUGCAUAUUGUGAUUGUCUGGAAUAUAUAUAUAUGUAUGGAUGUAGACAGGACGACAAUUGUAGAUUGUGUUUGUAUGGAAUGUGGAUGUGAACUUGUGAUUGUCGUUUAGAUUGGGUGUAGGUUAUACUAAAGUAGGGCUGUGUACUGGUGAAUUGAGGGGUGUUAUAACUAUAUAGUUUGAUUGACUGAUGUAUUGAUAUGUUACUGGCGGACAUUGGGCUCAAGUGAGAUAGGUUGACUAUUAGGUGUUAAGUGAAAGGAUUAUAUGUUGAAGUAGCUGGACUGUACUAUGAAUGAGUGUUAAGAUGUUUAGAAUGGAUUGAGGGGAAAAUUGUUAGAUUUCUAUUGGGUAGUUACCUUGCGGGUGUCCUACGGGAUCACCACCUGAUAUGUGCAUCCUUCGAUAGCACUAGAUGAUAUGUGCAUCCUUCGAGAGCAUUAGACUGAUAUGUGUUUCUGCAGAACAGUAGACUGAUUUAUGCGUCCUUUGAGGUGUUAGACUGAUUAUGUGUAUCCUACGGGAUCACAAGACUGUGACUGUGCAGGGUACCCCAAUAGGAAGUUAACAGUUUCUUUUUCCCCUAAUGGGACCAAUAGCGGGUCUCUUAUUGGGUAUGUUUAUACUCAUCCUUUCAUGUUUAACUAUUUCAGGCAAAGGUAACAAAGGAGGUAGACCGACGAGGGACAAGAAGGAGACGUGAUUGCCAUAAGGGAAUGUUCUUCAAAUGCUUUCGCUUUAUGUUUCUUGUUUUUCCUUUGUACAUGAGGUUGUUUAAAAGUUUUGUGAUGGAACUGAGUUUACGAACUGUUGUUUUGUAAAUAGUACUUUUAAAGUUUUGGUUAUUUGAAAUAGGGCCCGAACUUAAGUUUGUUUUCUUUGAUCGUAUGAUUUCAAGUGAAUUUUACUAUAAUUUGUGUCAAUCAAGGUCUCUUUGUCCAAAUUAAUGACUUCAACUUAGUUCGAAAAGUUGGAUCGUUACAACAAAUUUUAAGUAUUAAUGUAAGAAUUAUGUACUUCAUUAUAAAGAUCGAUAGUUUAAAGUUUUUUACGAUAAUUUACAUGGAAUUACACGAUCAGUUACCACUAUCAAUAGAAUCACUUACAAAUAUUAACACGAUCGUGUACCGAUAACAAGACGAUUGUUUACACUAUUCAAUACGAUCACCAAUAUCAUAUGAUCGUGUACCCAUGUCAACACGAUAAUUUAUUUUAAUCAAUAUUAUCAUUUACCGUUGUUAAAUGGUCGUUUAUCAUGGUUAAUAGGAUCGUUUAAUGUAUAUUAUUUCAUUGCACGAUCGUUUACUUAUUCUUGCAUUGUGUUUAGUAUUAUCAUUUUGUACAUUUUAUUCUUUUAUUCAGUAAUAAAUGUAUAUCUAUGUCUAUCUAUUUCUUUCUAUCCCAAUUAAAUACUUAAUUUUUUUUUUUUUUUACAGAUUAUAAUGUCUUUUCCUAUUGUUGUUUUUUAUGGAGGUCAAUGGAAUGGAUGUAAUAUUUAUGAGAAUUACUUAGUUGCUGAAAUUUUGGUAGAUGUCCGAGUCAGCUUUAAUUCUCUAGUUGAUUUAAUAUGUGAAUAGAUUCAAUUGGAUGGAUAAGUAGAAUUAUGAACAUGACCGUUCAUUGAAUACUAGUUGUUAUAUGCAAGCUUCUUCAACAGUAAUUGUCAGUUGCUUGAUAGAUGAGUUCAGGUUCAUGUCUACUGAUCGUUUCAUUCCGAAAGCAAUUGUGCAUAAGGCAUGUACAAAUCUUGAAGUUAAUAUAAGUUAGCAGAAAGCUUGGAGGGCAAAAGAACACAUAGUAAAGAUAUUAAAAGGUGACACAGUUAAAUCAUACAUGUUGAUUCCAAGGUUCUUUGAUAAAUUGGUUGAAUCUAUCUCAGGUAUAAUGAGUUUCAUAUAUAGAAUGAUGACAUCAAAUUGUGUAGACAGUGUAAAUUUAGUUUUUAAAGAUCUUAGAGAACUACCUAUAGCUACCAUGCUUAGUUCAAUUAGAGAUGUAUUGCAAAAGUGGUUUGAUGAAAGAAGUAAAGCUACUUUUACAAUGAAGAGUUGUUUGACUUCUUGGGCUGAGAACGUGUUGCAUUUAGAAUAAAUUCAAGAAUUUUAUUGGUAAGGUUUUUUUUUUUAAUGUUUGUAUCUCAGGUAGAUAUAAAUAGACUGCUAUUUUUGUCUAUCGAUAGAGAAAUAUAACAAUUUAUGUGUGCUUGUUUCAGAUAGAUAGAGAUAGAUAGCUAUCAAUGUCUAUUUGUCUCUAUUUGUGCAUGCUUUUUUUUUUUUUUUAAUUUUUCUAUAUUUGUUUUAUGUAUUAGGUUGAUCCAAUUAGUAUGACUAAAUACAAAGUAAUGGAUGAUACAAAAUGAUAAUGUGAUUUAUUUAUAUUGGUUCUAAUUUGAAAUAUUCAAAUUUAUUUUGGAAAUUAGUAUAAUUAGUAUAAUAUACAGUGAUACAUUAUAAUAUAAAGUUUAUAUGUUAAUGAAACUUUAUUAUAUAAAUUUAAUUUAGUUAUGAGAUAAAGUUAUAUUAGAAUAUGAUUCAAAUUUAACUUAAGUUAAAUAUAAAAUAUUUAAUUUAGUUAUUAAUUAAUUAAUAGUUUAGUUUAAUAUUAUUUAAUUAAAUUUGAUUUAAUUAAAUUAAUAUAAAACUAUAAGGUAUUGGAGAGAUAUUCAUUCAAUAAGAUUUAAAUGAAAUAUUAAUUAAAUAUGAUUUAAUUAAUUAUUAACUAAUUGAUUAAAGGUUAAUUAGUUAGUUGAUUUGAAACUUCUAUUAAUUUAAUAUUUUUUAAGUUAAUAGAAUCCUAUGAUUUUCUCCUACCCCGUCUCCUAAUUCAAUGAAAGAAAGAGAGUUAUAAAUAUGUAGAAGAAAAACAGCUUUUCUUAACCAAAAUUUCUUUUAUGCAAAAUAGAUUGUAACGACCUAAUUUUUCGAAUUAAGCUGAAGUUAUUACUUUAAGACUAGAUUCGUCCUUUAACCAUAAGACUUUAUAAUUUAAAAAAAUAUAUUUUUUAACAACAUUAAAGAGUUUUUAUUCGGGCUCUAUUUCAAAUAAAAUUUUGAAAGUGUAAAAGUAUCGAUAAUAAAGAAAGUUCAAGAACAUAAAUGUCGUUCAAUCAUGAAACCCAAAACAGUCUCAAUUACUAAAGAAAACCAAAAUAAAAAAAAUAUAAAGUAUAAGCAAUUUGAAGGACAUUUCCCUAUGGCAGUUUCGCGGAAAAAGAUUAAACAUAAAAGGGUGAGUAUAAACAUACCCGGUAAGAGACCCACUACUGAUCCUGUUAGAAGAAAAAUAAAAUUGUUAACUUCCUAUUGGAGGUGCCCUGCACUUUAAAAGUCUUGUGAUCAUGUAGAAAUACACAUAAUCAGUCCAAUGCCCUAAAGGACACAAAUAUUAGUCUAGUGCUCUUCAGAAAGCACAUGUAAGUCUAGUGCUUUCGAAGAAUGCACAUGUCAGUCUAUUGCUCUCGAAGAAUGCACAUGUCAUUCUAGUGCUCUCGAAGAAUGCACAACAGGUGGUGAUCCCGUAGGACACCUGCAAGGCACACUACCCAAUCGACAAAGCUAACAAUUUUCCCUUAGUCCGUUGUAAACAUUUAAUCAAUCCAUUCCUAGUAUAGUCAAACUACUUCAUCAAUGUAAAGCCCCAAAGGUAAAAAUAUAUAUAUAUAUACAUUUUUUUAUUUUUUAUAUAUUUUUAUUUAAUUUAAAUAAAAAGAAAAGAAAAAGAAAAUUCUUUAUUAUAUAUAUUCUUUUCUUUUCUUUUUUCUUUUUCUUUUCUUUUUCUUUUCUUUUCUCUCUUCUCCUUCCUCCCCGUGCGCCCUUCCCUUUCUCUCCGUUCGCAGCCCAGCAACCGCCGCCGCAGCCCAGCAACCGCCACCCCGAGACUUCUCUUCUUCCGUUUCUCUUUCUCUUUUCUUCUUCCACCCAGCGCCGCGACCGACCCCCAUCCGUUCGCAGCAACCGCCGACCUCCAUUCCUCUUCUCCUUCCGUUCGCAGCAAGCCGCCGACCAUCUCCCGCUGGCCAUCUCCUUCUUCUCUUCUCCUCUCCGCUCCGUCCAAACCCAGCCUCACCGCCGCGUCUCCCCUACUGAAGCAGAACGCCCGAUCUGCCGUCUAUAUCUCCGGUUCGCGAAGCAACCUUGCAGCAGUCGUCCCGCGCGCCGAUCUACUGCUGACCGACCCACACUUAGGAUUUUUGCUGCGAGUUCGACAUUCGUGCGUUGAGGUGUUGGGAGUAACGUUAGGCUCCCUUACAUUCACAACCGUUUGUGAAUUGUUGAAGGUUCAGUUCGCCAAUAUAUCGGUGAGUUGGAACUUACGUUGAGGAAAGUAAGUGACAUAUGUAUCGUGAAAGUAAUUGAAUUUUGUAUUGUUAUGCUUAGGAUUGUUUCGAGGACGUUAGUUGAUUAAGGAGCUUCCCUAACUUUGAGGUAAGGGAUUUUCUACUGGACUCACUUAUGACUGUGAAUUGUAUGUGUUAAAUGUAUACUUGUGGAUUGACUGAAAAUAUAUAUGAAUGCAUAUGAAUUGAAGUAGACUUGACGUCAAAUGUAUAUCGUGAUUGUCAUGGAAUAUAUAUAUAAGUGUGUGUAUGUGGACAGGACGAAGAUUGUAGAUUGUGUUUGUAUGAGAUGCAGAUGUGAACUUGUGAUUUUCGUUUAGAUUGGGUGUACGUUACGUUAAAGUAUGACUGUAUGCUGAUGAACUGAGGGGUGUGUUGACUGUAUAGUUUGAUUGACUGAUGUAUUAGCAUAUUAUUGAUAGACAUAUGACUGAAGUAAAAUAAGUUGACUGUUAGGACGUUGAAAGAAAGAACUUUGUGUUUUGAAGUAAUUGAAAGAUGGAUUGAAUGGAAUGAGGGGAAAAUUGUUAGAUUGUAUUGGGAUGUGUACCUUGUAGGUGUCCCACGGGAUCACCAAUUUAUUGUGCACCUUCGGGAGCAUUAGACUGAUAUGUGUUUCUGCAGAACACUAGACUGAUAUGUACGUCCCUCGGGGCGUUAGACUGAGAUGUGUAUCCUACGGGAUCACAAGACUGCGACCGUACAGGGUGUCCCAAUAGAACGUUAACAAUUUAUUUUCCCCUGACGGGACCAGUAGAGAGUCUCUUACUGAGUAUUUAAAUACUCACCCUUCUUAUGUUUAAUUUUCAGGCAAAGGUAAUAAAAGCGGCAAACCGGCGAGGGGCAGGAAGGAAGCGUGACUGCCAUAGGAAAUAUGUUGUUUGCUUCCGCUUAUGGGUUCUUGUGAGGUUUAAGAUGAAUUGAAAGUUUGCUUACAAACGUUUAUUGUAAAUAGUAUUGUUUUUAUGUUUUCUUAAAUGUUUGAAAUUCAGGCCUGACUUAAAGAUGUUUUUAAAUUAGCUUACGUUUUGUUUUAUAUUAAUCAAAGUCUUUUAUUUGUAAAAAAAAUUAACGACCUCGACUUACUUAGAAAAGUUGGGUCGUUACAAUCAUAUCAUCAAUCCAACUUAACACACUUACGUUCAAUCUAUUCAAUCUAUCACAAAAUCAGUUGAUACUAUAACAACACACCAGACAGUCAAGAUAUAUAUAUAUACAUAACACCUUUCUCAGUUUACAAAUACAUUAUCCAUCGUAUCUACUUCUAUACUAGUCUGGCAUAAUAUACAUUUGUCAUCAUAUCUACUUCUACAUAUUUGGUAAACCAUACUAAGUCCAGAGAUCCAAACAGUCAACACAUUUCAAAACUUUCAAAGAGUCCAGUAAUAGAAACCCCUUACUUUAAUGUUACUUAAAUUUCUCGAACGAAGGAAACCUAAUACUAAGAAUAUGGAACUCAAUUACUUUCACAAUACUUUCUUUCAUUUAAUUUCCUCAAUGUAAAUUCUAGCUUAUCAAAGUAUUGGCGAAUCGAACUCCAACAAAUCUACAAUUUAGUUGUGAAUCCAAAGAACUCAAACGCUAACUUCAAGAAUCAAUUAACAAUUUAACUAAUUAUCCAAAACUACAACCCAAGGAUAAUUACAAUGUAAAACCACCACACUCACCAAUACAACUUACACAAAAAUCCCAAAAAUUAGAGUAAAAUGGGGGCAACAACUUCGAAUAACUGGAAUCGACGCGUGUAAUAGAUCAGAUCUAAUCAACAAACGAAAAACAAACUUCAGCUUACAACCCAUGGCUGGAAGGUGAAGAGCCGCGCGACGACACUUCAACAGACGUGACGGGCUCAGGUCUGGUCGACGGCUGCUUCAACUAAGUAACAACGCCGGUGAGAUGAUAGGUCAAUCGGUGACGCUCCUCGUCACCUGGAGCAGAAUGUGGUGGCGCGAACGUCGAAGGAGCUACGCGCGAAUGAAUCACAGCUUGGCUGGAAAACAGAGGUGAGACGCGAUGCCGAGAGUUCGAACUCACGACGAACGGUGCUUCGGCUUCAACGGAGACGAAGGGAUCGGUGACGGCGUGGCCGGCUGACGUCCAAGAGUAAUAUAAAAUGGCUAAGGGAGGCAGGCGGCGGUGGGCACGGGGAAGAGGAAGAGUGAAGGAGAAAGAGAUGGGGUUGCACGUGAAUCAAUAAAGAAUUGAUAUUUUAAAUUAAUAAUAACAUUAAUUCUAUUAUUAUUAUUUAACCUUUAGUAUUAGUAUAUUUUUUCAUAAAAGCCCCCUUCACUUCCUGCUAAAUCCACACCACAACCAAAUUCCUUAAAAUCUUAAUAAAAUUUUAAAAAUUUAGCUUGAGAGAAAUACCUUGAUAUUGGGGGUGUUACAUAGUUUCUCUCUAAAUUUUUUUUUCAUUCCAAUUGUUUUCCACAAACCAAUCUCAUCUUCGAAGAUAGGAAGGUCUCCAACGGGUGGUGUCCCCAAUUCGGUGGAUUAUAGAUUCAAAGACGUCAACAAGAGUCAGUUCUAUGUAUCUUUUAAUUUAAAAGCAUAUUUAGUUCUUUAUUUAGAACUUUGAUUCUAAAUAUUGUCAAUGUACUGGUAUUUUGGAAUUUUCAAAUUAAAAUUGAUGAAUGGUUUUGUAAAAUCUUUCACUGCCAAGAGCUUUUAUCCCUUUAGGGCACACAUACCAAUUAAACUAAUGCAAGACCUUUGACAGUAGUUAAUGGUAGCAUCUCACAAAGUGGAAGUGGUUGGCUUACCAACGGAAGAUUUUCAAUCAUUUCUAGCAAUCCCUUUUCUGUUUGAGUAUGACCUUCCAUAUUUUCUGCUAUAUUACUUAUAGUUAAUAUCAAAUGUGCAUCUCUGCCAUAUAUGCUAAUAUCACUGCCUGACUACUCUUGAUGUUGAGGCGUUGUUCAUUUUUGUUCCCUACACAGAAAAGAAAAAAAAUUAUUGUUGUUUAUUUAUAAUCUAAGCAAUUUUAAACAAUAUAAAGCGGUAACUAAUGAAUUAAACACUAACUGUUGAGUUUCUACAGUAGAUUCUUGAAGAUGUGACUCUUGAACAAAUGGAUUCUCAUGGAUGAUCACAUGUUUGUUAUUUUGAUGGUCAUCAUUCUUGUCCAGAUUGUGAUGACUAGAAUCAUCACGAAGAUCAUCAUACAUGUUGUUAAUAUCAUCAAACAAUUGAUUCUGGUUCUAGUAUAGAAAGAAAAAAGGAUAAUAAAAAAAAUAGUUACAAAAUGAUCGUGUAUCCUUAAGCAAACAAUCGUGUAGAAUAUCUAAACGGUUGUUUUACCAAGGGUGAUCGAUAUUUCAGAUGGGAUAUGCGAUCGUUCAUAUGUGAUAUGCGAUCGUGUAAAGAUAUAUCAAACCUUUGUUCUGUCAGAAGUCGUGCUAAGAAGAGUUGAAAGCUUGUAAUAAGAUCCAUCAAAACUGAAAGAUUUUACAUCAACACGUUCCUGACACAGUACUGCAGUAUCAAUGAGCAUCAAAUUACGUGAGAUACAUAUUAGAAAAUAUCUAACUGCUCAGUUAAUUUUUUAUGGACAUCAAAUCACCUUUUUUCAAGCUUAAGGAAGGAAAUGUCGGCACUAUAUAUGUCAGAGUUGUGCAUUGCAAUGGAAGUGCCAACACGAGGUGAUACAUGUGUGUCUUUCUGGGAUGUAAAUGCCACUCCCCGACUAGGACCAGCAUAGUCUUAGGGAGAAAGCAUGCUAGGAAUUGGAGUUGUGUCCUCAAUUUCUCCAAUUUUACGAACAAAAAACAAGUCGAAUAUGUAGAUGCACACUCUUUGUCAUAAGAGAUAUAGCAACGUUUUUAUGGGUCAUUUUGAAAAAUGGCAAAACUACUUUUUCUUUUAAAUUUUAGCAAAUAGAAUUUUUUGCACGUGUGCAUGAUAUUUUAUAAAAUACCAAAAUAUUCACCUUCUCAAACAGUAAUUAUUUCGUUUCUACGUUGUAAUUAAUUUAUGUUAUGCAUUUAUUAGCUUUUAAUUAUUUUUUACCUGAAAAAGAUACAUCCUUUUUUCUUAAUAUCUCGGGACUCAACUAAUUGAUUCAAGAUUUUAAUUUUAUUCAAUCUUACUAAUUUCAAAAUAACCUAAUUAAAUUUCAAUUUCAAAAUAACAAAAUUAUUAUUUUUCGAAAUUUGAGAAUCUCAACGAUAGAUUUUGUAUCAAAAUAACUUUAAUUGAAUUUCAAAAUUAAAAAAUAUCAACUUGUACACUAUUUUUAUCUCAAAAUAACAUUAAUGACUUGAAUAUCAAGAUAAUUGAAUUAUUAUUUUAAAAUUGGGAGAAAUUUUACAUUAACAAAUAUCAACUUGUUCGCACACAAGCACACGCGCACAACACACGCACACACACGCACACACACACCCAUCCACACACGCACACGCACGCGCACAUAUGCACACACGCACAAGGAUGUGUAAAUUAAUUAAAGUUAAAAAACAAAUACAUUAAUUAUGUUUAGAAAGAGUUUUAAACCAUGUUCAUUUGACUUAAUAACAUUGAUUAAUUAUAAUUUCUAUCAAUAUUGGCUUAAAACUGUCAUUCGUGUAAUUAUUUCAAUAUAAUGCGGUCUUAUCCAAUUUUACCAACAAAAAACAAAUCGAAUAUGGAUCAGUAGAUCUACACUCUUUGUCAUAAGAGACAUAACAACGUUUUUAGGGGUCAUUUUGAAAAAUGACAAAACUACUUUUUCCUUUGAAUUUUAGCAACUAGCAUUUUUUGCACGUGCAUGGUAUUUUAUAAAAUACCAAAAUAUCAACAUUCUUCAACUGUAAUUAUUUCGUUUCUACAUUGUAAUUAAUUUAUGUUAUGCAUUUAUCAGCUUUUAAUUAUCUUUUACUUGAAAUAGAUAUAUUAACUCAUAUCAUAAUAUUUUUCUUAAUAUCUCGAGACUCAACUAAUUAAUUCAACAUAUUAAUAACUUUAUUCAAUCAUACUAAUUUCAAAAUAACCUAAUUGAAUUUGAAUUUCAAAAUAACAAAAUUGAAUUUCAAAAUAACAAAAUUAUUAUUUUUCGAAAUUUGGGAGUAUCAACGAUAGAUUUUGUAUUAAAAUAACCUUAAUUGAAUUUCAAAAUUAAAAAAUAUCAACCUGUUCACUAUCUUUAUCUCAAAAUAACAUUAAUGCCUUGAAUAUCAUGAUAAUUAAAUUAUUAUUUUUAAAAUUGGAAGAAACUCAACAUUAAAAAAUAUUAACUUGUUCGCACACAAGCAUAGAAGCACUGCGCACACACGUACACAUGCACACUUACACACACACGUGCACACGCACACCUACACAUAGACACCCACAGACGCACGAACGCACGCACACACACAUGCACACGCGCACACAUGCACACACACACACCUAUCCACACGCGCACAAGCACACACACAUGCACAAACGCACACACGCGUACGCACAAACGCACACACGUAAACACAUACGCACACGCGCACAAACACGCACGCGCGAGCACACCCACACACCCAAGCACACACGCAAUAGCCCGUGCACACACACGCACGCACAAACACAUACAAACAUGCACACACCCACACACACAUGCACACGGACACUCGCACGAACACACGCACAUACACAUACGCACACCUACCUACACGCGCACACGUACACACGCACAUAUGCAUAAAGAUGUAUAAAUGAGUUAAAAUUAAAAAACAACUACAUUAAUUGUGUUUAGAAGGACUUUUAAACCAUGUUCAUUGACUUAAUAACAUUAAUAAUUUCUACCAAUAUUGGCUUAAAAGUGUCAUUCGUGUAAUUAUUUCAAUAUAAUGCAAUUUUAUCCAAUUCUAUUAGCAACAAACAUGUCGAAUAUGAACCAGUAGAUAUACACUCUGUCAUAAGAGAUAUAGCAACAUUUUUAUGGGUCAUUUUGAAAAAUGGCAAAACUAUUUUUUUGUUAAUUUUAGCAAAUAACAUUUUUUGCACGUGCAUAAUAUUUUAUAAAAUACCAAAAUAUUCACAUUCUCCAACUAAAAUUAUCUUGUUUCUAUAUUGUAAUUAAUUUAUAUUAUGCAUUUAUCAACUUUUAAUUAUUUUUUACCUGAAAAAGAUACAUAAACUCAUAUCAUACAUUUUUCUUAAUAUCUCGGGACUCAACUAAUGGAUUCAAGACUUCAACUUUAUUUAAUCUUACUAAUUUCAAAAUAACCUAAUUGAAUUUGAAUUUCAAAAUAACCAAAUUGAAUUUCAAAAUAACAAAAUUAUUAUUUUUCAGAAUAUGAUAAUCUCAGCAAUAGAUUUUGUAUCAAAAUAACUUUAACUGAAUUUCAAAAUUAAAAAAUAUCAACUUAUUCACUAUCUUUAUCUCACAAUAAUAUUAAUGGCUUGAAUAGCAAGAUAAUUAAAUUAUUGUUUUAAAAUUGGGAGAAACUCAACAUUAGAAAAUAUCAACUUAUUCACACACAAUCACACGCGCACACACAUACAUACACUUGCACGCGCGUGCACCCAUACACGCACACACACACGAACAUAGGCACACACACACAAACACACACAUGCACACGCACACCAAACCGCACGCACACAAAUGCACACGCACACACCUACUCACGUACACAUGUAUGUGCGUAUACACACACCCAAGCACACGUGGACAUGCGCACACCCGAGCGCACACACACACGCCCACUGAUGGUUCAAUUUCAUCGAUAGUUCCUAUUUUUGCUGACAGUUUAUUUUUUGCCAUCGAUAGAGGAUCUUCGACAGACCUACCUGACGGUGUGUGUUGACAGCUUAAUUUCAUUGGCAAAAGAAAAGUUGAUUAGUUUUUGAAGAUUUACUGACGAUAUUUGUCAUCGACAAAGGGUAAAUUUCUUGUAGUGCAUGUACGUCAAACAUAUCGAAUUUGUUAAGUGUACCAAUGAAGUAUAACAAGUUUAUUAGUGGUGUAUCAAGUGUAUCAAACUUAUAAGUGAAGUCUUUAAGUGUAUCAAACUAAUCAAGUGUAUCAAGGUCUCAGGGGUAUCAAGUUGUAUCAUGAAGAAUCAAGUGUAUACGAGAAGUAUUAUGUGGAACGAGAAGUAUUAUGUGUAUGAAGAUGUUUCAGGUGUGUAUCAAAAGAAGUAUCGAGUGUAUCAAUGAGUACCGAGUGCAUGAAUUGUAUCUAUCAAAUUGUAUCAAGUGUAUCAGUAAGAAGUAUCAAGUGUAUCAAGGGGUAUUAGGUGUAUCAGACGUGUAUAAGGUGUAUCAAAUGUACAUCAAUAACGAGGGCAUUUGUGACAUUUUACCUCUUGAUGUGUGAGUUGGUCUUUGUUUUUGUCAUUUUCUCAAAUAAAAAAGUAUGUGUUCUAUGGACUUAAUUAUUAUAACUUAUUUUGCCAUUUUCGCAAGUGUCCCUUAAUUGUAAUACAUGUAUAUGUGACAUAAUCUAAUCAAACUAACUCAUAAAUGGACUUAAUGUAUCAAGAGGUAUUAGGUGUAUCAGACGUGUAUAAGGUGUAUCAAAUGUACAUCAAUAACGAAGACAUUUGUGACAUUUUACCUCUUGAUGUGUGAGUUGGUGUAACGCCCCAAACUCGAAGGUAUUUUAUUUUAAGAGAUUUUUUCGAUUUGUACAAGAUUUAUUGUUUUGAAGAAAAUAUGUUGAAGGGGGAAAGAAGAUUUGAAAAUGUGAUAAUAUAAUUAUAUAUAUAUUUAUUUAUAUUUUUAGUUUUAUUAUUUAGUUUAAAUAAAAGAAAAGAAAAAGGAAUUUUAUUAUAUAUAUAUUUAGUUAUAUUUUAGUUUUUUUUUAUUGUUUAAAUAAAAGAAAAGAAAAAAGAAAUUUUUCCUUCCUUCUUCCUCCCGUGCGUCCUCCAUCCCUUUCUCCUUCCCGUACCCUAGCAGUCGCACAUCCCUGUAACGACCCAACUUUUCUAAGUAACUUUUCAUUCACGAGAAACUCAAAAUUGUUUCUUAAAGUCACAUCAAGACAACAAUGCUCAUCUUCCUUGUUUCUUUUCCAAUACCUCCAUUCUAAAACCAUUUAAUGUGUUUCGUAUAAACUUGACCGUGUAUUUAGUCCUCUUUAAAAAACCACCUACAUAACUUAUUUUUCUUAGAUUUCCAAUCACAAAACAGACAAUUUCGCUAACAACGUCUUACUUUUCUACUACUCGACCACCCCUUUGAACACGUCUACAUGGCAACAUUUUUCCUAAAUUUCACCAUUAAAUCCUUCACCAUUAAAUCAUAACAUUCAUGUAAUUCUAGUUUAACUUAGGCAAGGUCAUAUACAUAUAACCAUACAUAUAAGCAUAAAAGCAUACCUGACGAGAGACGAAGGGUCGCGUUUGCCAUAGGAACACAAAAACAUAGACUUACAUCGUAAGUCAGUCUACAGAACCUAAAACUUAGGCUCUGAUACCAACUGUAACAACCCAACUUUUCUAAGUAAGUCGAGAUCGUUAAUUUUUAACAAAAUAAACGACUUUGAUUAAUAUAAAACAAAACGUAAGAAAUUUUUUUAAAAAAAAAAACAUCUUCAAGUCAGGCCUGAUUUUUAAACAUUCAAGAAAACAUAAAAUAAUACUGUUUGCAACAAACGUUUGUAAACUAAAUUUCAAAUCAAUCUUAAAUAAGCGGAAGCAAUUACACGUUUCCUAUGGCAUCAACGCUUCCUUCCUGCCCCUCGCCGGUUUGCCACCUUUAUUUCCUUUGCCUGAAAAUUAAACAUAAGAAGGGUGAGUAUUUUAAAUACUCAGUAAGAGACCCUCUACUGGUCUCGUCAGGGGAAAAUAAAUUGUUAAAGUUCUAUUGGGACACCCUGUACAGUCGCAGUCUUGUGAUCCCGUAGGAUACACAUUUCAGUCUAACGCCCCGAAGGACGUACAUAUCAGUCUGACGCCCCGAGGGACGUACAUAUCAGUCAAGUUGUUCUGCAGAACACAUAUCAGUCAAAUGCUCCCGAAGGUGCAAAAUAAAUUGGUGAUCCCGUGGGACACCUACAAGGUAAUCAUCCCAAUACAACCUAACAAUCUAUCCCCUCAUUCCAUUCAACCCAUCCUUCAGAUACUUCAAAACAUAGAGUUCUUUCUCUCAACGUCCUAACAGUCAACUUAUCUCACUUAGGUCAUAUGUCUGUCAAUAACAUACUAAUACAUCAGUCAAUCAAACUAUACAGUCAAUACACCCCUCAGAUCACCAGCACACAGUCAUACUUUAGCGUAACGACACCCAAUCUAAACGACAAUCACAAGAUCGCAUCUGCAUCUCAUACAAGCAUAAUCUACAAUUUUCGUCCUGUCCACAUCCACACAUAUAUAUAUAUUCCAUGACAAUCACAAUAUGCAUUCCACAUUAAGUCUACUUCAAUUCCUAUGCAUAUGUAUAUAUAUUUUCAGUCAAUCCACAGUGUACAUUCAGCACCGAAUCUACACCCAUACGUGUAUAAACAUAAGUAUCAUCUCAACAUCUUUACUCAGUCAAAGAUAAUCAUUCAGACAUACAAUUCACAAUCAUAAGUAAGUCCAGUAGAAAAUCCCUUACCUCGAUUUCUAUGCAAAUUCUUCAAUCUACUAAAUCCAAUGAAUCAAAUCCUAAACAUAAUCAAUCAUAAAAUCAACAUCGUUCUAAAUAGUUUCAACCUUUCAAAUUACUCCAUAUGUAAAUUCCACAACUUACCGAAAUACUGGCGAACUGAACCCUCAACAAUUCACAAAUUGGUUGUGAAUUUAAGUGAUCCAAAGUUACCUUUCACACCUUGAAGAAUAAUUUAUCAAAUUAGUCAAUUAACCCAUCCGUAACGUUUGAACACCUUGAAAACAUCACAACCCAUACUUAAAUUGUUUUGGAAACGACUACAAUUUCAUAACUUCAAUCUUACCAACAAAAACUUCGACGGAGACAGAGACGAUUAGGACGGGGCACGGCGACGCAGAUCUGGGUAACGGCGCGGAGACAGAGGUCGCGCGGCGGUGCUGGGCAGAGGUCACGCGGCGGCUGACGGUUGCAGUGGCAGUUUUUUUGGCUCGAAGAAGAAAAGAAAGGGUGGCGGUUGGGUUCGGCUUCGGUGAACGGAGACAGAAACAGACGAACCCGGUGGACGCCUCGAUCUAGCGGUGCAGAUCUGGACAGAGGGUCACACGGCGGUGGGCGGAAGGUCACGCGGCGGCCUUGCUUCGCGAACAGAGACGGCGGCUGGGCUGCGGCGGAAAGAAAACGGAGGAGAAAGGAUCGACGGCUGGCUGCGGUUGGCUGCGGCAGGACGGGAAGAAGAAUAGGGGCGGCGGCCGUAGAGCGGAGAAGAAAAGAGGAAGAAAAAGAAGAAAGAAAAGAGAAAGGAAAAGAGAAGAGAACGGGGGGGGGGGGCUGUGCAGCGCGCGAGAGAGAGAGAGAGAGAAUUUCUUUUUUCUUUUCUUUUUUAUUUAAAUUAAAUAUAAUUAAAUAAAUAUAUAUAUAUAUAUAUAUAUAUAAAAUAAAAACAAAAUAUAUAUAUAUAUAUAUACCUUUGGGGCAUUACAAUCCCUCUCUUCUCCGUUCACCCAGUCGGCCACACAAGCUGUCGGUCGUUUCUUCUUCUUCUUUCCGGUCGUCUUCCUUUUCUCCUUCGGAUCGAAACCGCCGCGCCCAUCCGCUCACUACCGUCGUGCCUCUCCGCUCAUAACCGUCGUGCCUCCCUCGGAAAGCAAAUCGUCAUCCAGAUCUGCAUCGCCGAGCCGUCCAGGUCCUCGCCGUCACUUGUGCUUCACCCUUGCAAUUCGCCAUAACCCAGAUCCGUCGCUGCAACCGUCGGUCGGUUCGUGAAGUGCCGUACGCGUCACCUUGCAGCAGUCGUCCAGAUCUGCGUCUCCGUGCCCAUUCCUUUCCUCUCCGUUCGUGAAGCCCUGCUGCGCAAUCUCUGUCUCCGUCGAAGCCAAGCCCAGCCGCCGCCCGUUCCUUUCUCCUCCGUUUUCUGCACUGCUGCGUGACUCUCCGACCGCGUCUGUCUUCACCUCCGUGAAGCCGUCGACGCAUACAUCUCGUGAAGUCAUACACGGAUCCAAGUCGAUCUCUUCCUAAAUUACGUGUCCCCUAUCAAGUCGAUGUUCUUCUGCUCGUUGUAAGACGGAGUUACGAUUUGAAGCCGAUUUUCUUUUCCAGUGGAGUCGCAUUCAGUGUUGCUCUAUUUACAGCUACUUGAUUCGUUCUUGAUUGUCAUUUUUGCCUCGCCGUGAACCAUUGGGCUCAUAUUUGGGUAAGAACAAGUUAUGGUUUUUGUUGGUUUCUUGGUUUUUGUUGAAUGCUGCCAUUGGAUUUAAUUGUUGGCGAAAUGCUUAAUUCUUGAAGGUACAUCUUGAUUCAGUGAGCGAAUCCUUGAUUUUCCAAAAGGUUGAAGUGGACUUGAUUUUCCACUUCUUGGGUAAGUUGUGGAAUUUACAUAUGGGGUAAUUUGAAUGGUUGAAACUAUUUAGAAAGAUGUUGAUUUUAUGAUUGAUUAUGUUUAGGAUUUGAUUCAUUGGAUUUAGUAGAUUGAAGAACUUGCAUAAAAGUGAGGUAAGGGAUUUUAUUUUCUACUAGACUCACCUAUGCUUUUGAAUUGUAAUGUUAGUCACCUCUGAUUGAGUACGUAUGGAUGUAGGUUCGGUGUUGAAUGUAUACUGUGGAUGACUGAAAAUAUAUAUAUACACAUGGAUUGAAGUAGACUUGAUGUUGAAUGCAUAUUGUGAUUGUCUUGGAAUAUAUAUAUAUAUGUGUGUGGAUGUAGACAGGACGACAAUUGUAGAUUGUGUUUGUAUGAGAUGCGGAUGUGAACUUGUGAUUGUCGUUUAGACUGGGUGUACGUUAUACUAAAGUAUGACUGUGUGCUGGUGAACUGAGAGGCGUUAUGACUAUAUAGUUUGAUUGACUGACGUAUUAGUAUGUUACUGACAGACAUUGGGC